CCCUAUGCAUGUUUAAUUAUUUUUUGAAAGACUAUACGAUGUAUAUUUAGUAUGUACUAAGGAUGAUUAGAGUAAGUUUGACUUAUAGCUCGUGUGUGUGUUAAAAUGAAAGAUGUUUCUGUAGGAAUGAGCUCAUUCGUACCAUGUGUGAUGUGAGACGAUGGUGUGGCAUCCUGAUAUUUUAGCUUAGUGACCGGGUGAAGUAUAGGGUGUUACAGAAUGUAGGUUUCCAAAAAUGGAAAUGGAAAUGGAAGUGAAAAUAGAAACUUGCAAUACUAUAAAGAAUUACUUAAAAAAUGAUAGAAGAAUGAGUUUAUGUUUUAUUUUUUACUAUUUAAAAUCCCGAAAAUAAAAAUAAAUCAUUCUGUAAUAGUGAACAUGUUGAGUUGAGACAUAUUGAAUGAUUUUUUUCAAAAUUUUACCAUGGAUAAAAUCGUUAAAAUUUUACCGAGGGUAAAAUUUUCAAAAUUUUACUGGGUUAAAAUUAGGAUGAGAAAAUUAUUUAAUAUGUAGAUAUUACAGUUUAUUUUGGGAAAUAGAAAAACUAAAUCGGGUUGCCUCAUAUUACAAUCAACUAGUCAAAAAGGCCUAGAAAGUAUUCAUAAUUUGACUCGAUGUAAGAGAGGCCUAAAAACCCCUCAUGGACAUUAGGUGGAGGCAACCCUAGUACAAAUAUUAGGUCAAAUCAUCCACCCUAGUCCUAUUCUAAGUAAGAUAUUUUUCUACCUUCUCUUCCUAUAAAUAGAUGGUAUCGGUAGAGUUAUUUACACAACUUUUAGAGAUAGUUAUUUUGUCAAAAAAUAGAAAGAAUUUAUUCUCAACUGUUACAUAUAUAUUUUCCAGAAUAACAAUUCUACUGGUUUCUAUUAGGAAGAGAGAUCUUUUGUUUUCACCCUAAAAGGAGAGAAAACUUUUUCUAGUUCUUUGUUCCAAUUCAAUCGGUUCGAGCCCACACUUGAAGCAGUUCGUAGUAUAAGAAUAACAGAGAAGAUCGUUUGGUUGAAAGGCAAAAAAAUCAAGUAUCUGCUUAUCCAAAAAUACAGGUACAAAUUCAGUUAAGGUUUUAUUGCUAUAAAUAUCACAAACUGGGUCGGUUUUCAAAAUUUUAAUUUUCCAUUGUAUAAGAAAACCGUUUUCAAAUUGGGUUUUUUCCAACACCACAUACGUCAAUGUGCACAAGUUCUAGGGGCUUUUCGAUCAUCAUUCCUUUUGCAUUAAAAGAUCGCUUAGUCAUCUGACCUUCCAAGCAAGAUUCGAAUUAUGGAAGAUCAACUUCUUUAAGUGAACUUAAGAUGUCGUCUUUCACAAGUCUAGUGAUUCUUUCUCGGUUAAUAUGACCAAGUCUCAAAUGCCAAAGUUACGCCCCAUUAGAGUGAGAUGUUUUAAGUCUUCUAUUUUAUUUUUCAGUCUUAAGCAGUGUGGACAUCUUUGGUUCGAUAAAAUAGAGAUUAUUUGACAUCAAUGCAUUACAGAUAAAAUUGCUAUUUCUAAAUAUUGCAAUUUCAUUAUUAAAAGUCACAGUCAAGUCGUCUUUAUAUAAACAUGCAACAGAAAUUAAGUUUCUUUUGAAACUUGGUACAAAGAAAACGUCUUUUAAAAUAAUCUUUCUAAAAUUAUCAAAAUAAAGAUGUGCAUAUCCCACAAUUUCAGCUACCACACUUGUCUCGUUCUUGGUCUGCAACAAUAAGCUCUUAUCUCUAAGAUAUUUUGUCUCCUUGAACCCCUGUAGAGAAACACAAACAUUAUAUAUGGCUCCCAAAUCAAUGACCUAGUGGUCUAUUGAAUCUUCCACUAAACAAGCUUCUAUCAUAAAGAGUUUCAUACAUUUUCCUUUGGUAAAUAGGUAUUCUUUCCACUCUUUAUAGUUUGCCUUGAAGUGCCCUUUUUUACUACAAAAGAAGCAUUUAGACUUAGAUAAGUCUUUAGGCUUUUUAAUUCUAUUCCUUUCCACUUGUGGUGGCCUAGAGACUUUAGCCUUGCUUUUCUUAGCAUGCUUUCCCUUCUCUUUGAGGAAUAAGAGAUAGCUAUAUUCACUUCUGCUCUUCGGACCCACUAACCGUCGUUCAACAUUAACUCAUAAGAUUGUAACUCCUUCAUAAGUUGUGUAAGCGUCUGGUUUUUAUUGCCAAGGUUAUAUGCGACCCAAAAACUAGUAAAAUCCUUUAACAAGCUUUUGAACACCAUAUCAAUUUGAGUGUUCUGGUCUUGCCUCAUUGUCCGCAGCCUCAACAAAAUAGCCCAUAAGUGUGAUCAUAUGGUUUUUGAUCGGAGUGUUGAGCUUUUUCUAGGCAUUUAUCAAGCUAGUCAUGACAUACUGUCGAACCAAGGUAACUUGGCCUCUAAACAUGUCUUCUAGCUUAUCUAGAAUUUUUUUAUUGGUCUUACAUCUCUUUAGUUGCUUAUGCAAAGUACUGGUCACGCUUGCUAGCAUAUAGCAACAAGCUAUCUCAUCAGACUCUUCCCAGUGUUUUCUAGCCUCAACUUGAGUGGUCGAAGGGCAGCUAGUAUUAAAAACUAUUUUAAGUUUCUCAUAGCUUAGGAGAAUUCUUUGAUUCCUUAUAGUUGUUUCCAUUCAGUUUGUUUUUAGUGAGUAUGUUCAAUAAGGGAGUUGGUGCAAUUUUCAAACUAAAAAUAAAACAUUCAUAUAUUAAUAUCUUUGUAUUAAGCAAAUGUUUGUAAAUGUUUUGCAACAUUACGAUAUGCAUUAAGAUGAUGCAUGUGUCUUACUUAAACCUUGAAAAUAUUUGUAAGUUAUUGCAACGUUAAUUCGUACACCCAUUAAAUCAAGCCACCUUGUUAUCAACUAGUAAGAAUAUUGAUUACCAUCCAAUUGGUACAUUAACCUAAUUCCUAAGGCAUUCACACGUACUAAUAAUCAUGUAACAUUUAACCAUCAUUCUAACUUAGGCAUAGCUCCCUAGAAAGUUACUUAACUAGAUGAUCUUGAGUGUAUAACCAUCAACUCAACACCUAACACAUCAUAAAACACAAAUGAGUUAUAUUGGGACAAUCUGACCAAGUAGCAUGCUGUUACUAGUUGUCCUUUUUGAAAAAAAAAUUCAUAUUGUAUUGCAUGAUAAAACCUACCAUAGGGGUCGGUCCAACUAUCACAUGAUCAUAAGAAUAUUUUGCAUACUUUUAAGAGGUCUCCUCUAUGAAAUCCACAUGAAAACAUCUACCUUGAGGCAGAUCCAUUUCAUGUAGUCACAAGAGAUUAUCAAUGAAGGCUGUAGGUCUUCUUUAGGGACCUUCUCCAUUCAAUAUUUUAAAAACAUACAAGGUUUUUAAUUUUUGUUUUCAAUCAUGUAUGAUCAAUAUAUGCAUGAUAAGUACAUGCGUCAUUCUUUCCUAAACUAUAUGACAUGCUUAUCUUAUGUAUGCAUGACAUGCUCUGACAAUUUUAUAAUAUUCAUAUUCAAUUAUUCACAAUAGUCAAUUAAACAAUUUUGAUUCUCCAUAGUUUUUCUUUUAAGGGAAAAAUCAAAAAAGUGAAUGUGAAUCGUGCACCAAGUAUGUUCUUAGGAAAGGGAGGUGAGUCGUAUUUAACCACUUAAAAACCAAACCUUUCUUUACCAGACUCAAUCCUAGACAUUCACCUUCUUAUUACCACACUUCUCAUAAUAAUCGAAUAACCUAAAUAAGUGAAUGGAAUAAUACAACACAUGUAUUUUCUCAUUACCGCACUUCUUAUCUUUAAUAGAUCAACUGUGGAUCAUCUUAUACAUAUAUAUCAUAAUGAUAUCAUAAAUAAUUAUUAAAUAGAUAUAUAAAGAGAUGCGUAAUAAAAUAAAAUUGUUAGCCAAGGUUUCCAUGGUUCUAUUUCUAGAAAAUAAAUGAAAAACCAAAAAAUUACAUAGUUUUUUGCCACAAGGCAUUCCUUAUGUCUUCAACCGUCAUCGCUCAACCUUCUCCUUGUCAUGGACUCUUUUUUAGAAAAAUUAUAUUUAUAUCCUAUAUGCGUUUUCGACUCACAAGAAUUCUAAAAAUAAAAAUAAUCCUACGUGGAGAUGAUAGUCCACAGUUUAUUUCCUAAUAAUCACAACAUUGGCAAAACAAUAAUAAUUAUAAAACAAAUAUAUAUAAUAUUGCAUUCAUUCACAAACAUUCCCCUAAACAUGCAAAUAAUUACAAGAAUUCCACAUCUGAUCAAAUAUUAAUCAAAUAAGAUAAAGAGAGAUUUGGUUUCGGUUUACACCAUAAACAUAGCACAAUCUAGCACUCUGAUACCAAAAAAAUCUGGUUUGAAAAUAGAACUGAUCCAGUUUAUGAUAUUUAUAAAAAUAAGCUUAUACCGAAAUUAUACCUGUGUUUUCGGAUAAACGGAUCCUUGAUGUUUUCUAAAUUUCAACCAAAUAAUCUUCUUUGCUAUUCUCGUACCAUGAAAUACUUCGAGUAUAGAGUCGAACCAAUUUGAAUCGAAGCACAGAACUAAAAAAGUUAUCUUCUUUUGCGGUGAAAACAAAAAUUAUCUCCUCUAUAGAAAGCGAUAGAAUAGUUAUUUUGGAAAAAUAUAUUUAAUAGUUGAGAAUUAAUUCUCUUUAUUUUUUGGUAGAAAAACAAUCUCUCAAAAAUUGUAUAAAUAGCUCUACCGGUACCAUCUAUUUAUACGAAGAGAAAGUAAAACCCUUAUUGAGUUGUAGUGGUUUAUUUCAAAUAGAAAAUUAACUUCCUACUUAGAGUAAGAGAGGGGUGGAUGUACACCCUAGUAUUCCUACUAGGGUUUCCGCCCCCUUUAUGUUACAUGAGGAGUUUUGGGUCUCUCUCACAUUGAGUCCAAUUAUGAGUACUGUCUAGGCCUUUUUGACCUAGUACUCUGUAAUGUCAUCCAACCUGGUUCAAUUUUUCUAUUUCCCAAAAUAAAAUUUAAUAUUUAUAUACAAAACAAUUUCUCAUCCCUAUUUUAUCCCUAACAAAAUUUUGACAAUUUUGUCCUUGGUAAAAUUUCGAGAAAAUAUGUUCAAUAUUCCAUAACUCAAAUGUUCACUAUUACUGAAUGGUUUAUUUUCAUUUUCGGGCUUCAAAAUAGUCCAAAAACAUAAACUCAUUCUUCUGAUCAUUUUUUAAGUAAUCUAUAUAGGAUUGUAAAUUUUCAUUUUCAUUUCCAUUUUCAUUUCUAUUUUUGAAAAGCUACACCAAUUUUCAAAUGAUUCCAUUUCUCCAUUUUGGAGAAAACCAUAAUCAUUCCUGAAUGUUUCCCAUUUCUCAUUUUCUAUUCAUCACAUUCAUUUAUAUUCAAAACAGGUAAUUCAUUUUUUUGUUUCAACGUACUAGCAGAGGGACCUAUUGGACUUAUAUAGUUAAGGUUGAAAUGAUUUAUAAUUAAGUUUUGGCUUUUCGUUUAUUAAUUAUAAAUUUAUUUAGUCACGAAGUCAUUCCACUAUAGUAUCAUGAUUGAGCUAUACCCAAUGACAUACCAUUACGAAAGCAACUACUCAGUGCUUGUCCAAUGACCUUGUCAUAAGUAUGUAGGAUAUCAUUGAUCUUUUUGGGAUAAUAUCCAUUCUCCCAAUAUAAUCUUAUUUUAUCUCAUGGUAAGCAUUACAUCUUCGUGAAAUGUCAAUCACUAUCAAACAGUGAUCAAGUCAUCCAUUACAAAGAUGGAUAACUCAUGGCCACGUUUACUUUUCAUCAACCAUGUAAUACCAAUGAGAGGAUAUUAUUUCCUAUGUUUUUGGCAAUUAAAUACCGCUAUUGUGAAUGACGCUACAUACUACAAAAGUUCUACACCCAAUGCACUAACUUUCUGUUUAUUAUCUAUUUGAACUCAAGCUUUUACUCACAUCAAAGUGUACAAGUCACGCAUACAUAGUCUACCAUCCACUCAAGAUUUAGGCAUGCCACACUAUGAAUGCCACAAGUGAAUAAAUCCAUAAAUGGAUUUAGGAUCUAUUCUGAUUGGGUCUUGUCUUUAUGUACAGCUAGUAUAGUCACUUACAUCUAUGUAUAUAUAUUCUAGGAGACAUCCCUCCGAUGCCCAAGACAAAACAUCUCCCCAAUUGGAAUUGAUAGAAGACAUAUUAGACUUUCAAUCAUUUUUCUCAUUUCUAAUUAGACUAAAGACAUGUUUAGGUCUGUAUACUAACACAAGUUGUCUUUCUGUACUAUGAUCUGACCACGUAAUACCGUUUAAUAAUAGUUAAUCAUUUAGAGAAACAAUAAGCAAUAUUUGCUUCUAUUUUGCUUUGCGUGCAAAAACCAUGUGAGGACAAUUAUACAAAGUAUAUUGACAAAAAUACUACACUUAAGGCAUCAGAUCCAACAGAAACUACCCUUAGAAAACCAAUAGAAGACUGCAUGUACAAGGAUAACAUUCAAUAACAUUCCAACCUUGUCUAUGAUACUAACAAAACUCAUCGAAACAAAAAUUUGAAACACAAAACACCUGUUAUCCAUUCCAUCCAAGUCGACAUGUGUAACACCCCAGACCCGACCAAGACGUUAUGGCCGAAUCUGGCGAUGUCACAUGAUAGUACUUUUGAAAUUGUACUUGGCGAGUAAAAACCAAUUAAGUUACUUAAUCUUUGCUAUGAAUAAAACAUUUCUCCUUUUCGUGGGAACUUUGAAAAUAAACUAUUUUAGGGAAAUACGUAAUUAAUUUCCGAAGACCUUAGUUUUUAAGAAAAUCUGUUUGUUUUUAGUAAAAAUAGAAUUUUGAUCAUACUUGUCAAAAAUAAAACAUCAACAGUAUAAACCGAGUUAAAACCAAAUAGUCCAAAGUCCCAGAAAUUACAAAGUAAAGCCCAAAUUAAAAGAGGAAGCAAAUAACUAAGAAAACUGCAUAAAUAUAAUAUGUAAUCGAAGUGGUCAUCACUGAGACCUCCGUUGCACCGAUCUGCCUAAUGCUGGGGAUUACCUGAAAAGAUUAAACAAAAAAGAGUGACUUUUCACAAACUAAGUGUUUAAUCCCCAUAGAAAUAUACACACAGCACAUAUCUGAAAUCAGUCAUGUAUUUAUACAUAGUUCGGGCCUGAGCCCUUUACAAAAUCUGUGUGGACAUUAGCCCACUCAGAUAUAGAAUCAGAUACAGAACAAAAUAACAAAGUCCUACCUACCAGCCUCUACACACCAGCUCUGUCCAACCCUACACACCAUGUGGGGAUAAAAUCGAGCCACCCAUCCCUACACACAAUGUUGUGCCGAAAUGUGGCACAUAAUUAGAUAAUUGCAGCUGUACUGCCAGAAAUCAAGCUUAGGGGCGUUUCAGAACACUUCCUCUAUAUACAAUAACCCAACCCCGAUGCAAUGCAACAUGAAAUACAUGACAUGCAAAUAUGCAAUUAAUAGAUCAUACAUACAAAUCGGUCUACAUGCUAAGAGUAACACGCUAGAGUACAUAUAUCACAUGGUCAGAUCACGUAAUCAGGAGUCAAGUAAUCUUACCGACCUUACAGUAGGUCCCAGAAGACUUAGGUGACCCGAGCAACCUUUCAGAGUAUUUUAGGAAAUUGGGCUCACAUGCAGAUGUGGCCUGCCCGUGUGGGCCGACACGCUUGUGUGGCCUGCCCAUGUGGGUCCACACGCCUAUGUGGGCCACACGGCCCGAACUGGCCUUGGCCGUGUAAACCACACGGCCUAGCCCAGAAUUCCACACGCCCGUGUGGUUCACCCAUGUGGGCCCACACACUCGUAUGGCCUACACGGCUCAAUUGGUCAAGCCCGUGUCUAGCACACGGCCUCACCAAUCCUCACAAGGUCGUGUCAUGAGCCCGUGUCACGCGUGCAUGGCCUAGUUCGUCGAUCACAUGCUCGUGUGCUGCCACACGGCCUAGCACACAGGCGACCACAUGCACAUGUGGCGUCAACAGUUUUAUUUUUCGACUUUCGCUGAUUCUUGUUUUCUGUGUUUCCGGGUACACACCUGGUUCGUUUACGCAACAAACACAAUCCCAAAAUUACCAGCACCUAUAAUUGACCAACAAACACCAAUUAAACACUUGAAUCAUGAACAAUUUGAAACACCUUAACAUGGACAACCCCUUAUUCCACAAGAGCUCUUACCUUAGAAUGAACGACAGUGAAUCCAAACAACCCCAGCACCAAUCGGAAUCCACAAUCCCUUAAUCGUCUCCUAAACAAAGAAUAAACCCCAUUAAUCCACGAUUCAAUAUUACAGAAUUUUAAAUACGCUUACCCCAUUUACCAGGACACAGAACAGUGCCGAAGUAUCGAAAUACCAGUUUACGAUAGCAAAUAAACAAGGAGUAACGGGGAAAUAUUGUAGAAUGGCGAAAGAGAAAGAAAGUAACGACAGCAAGAAGAAACACCAACAAUAGAGUUUUUCCUUAAGAGGAAGAACCGAAUUUUCAAAAUAGAAAAAGAAAAAAUAAUGAAGAUAAUUCCAAUAACUCCCAAUAUCCCUCAAAUCUUUCCCACUAACCCAGUAACAGCCAACUAUUCAGAAUCCAACUUCAGCACAACUCUUACCGAAAUUCGAACAAAAAUAAUACCCCUUGCUAAGGUAGAGACUCGAACUCAAGACCCCCAACACACCAACACACACCCUAACCAUCGACCAGCAGGCCCAUUCUGAUAUAGACUUACCAUCAAUUAAAAUAAAAGCAUACUGAUUAGAGAUAGGGCUUAUUUCAGAAGAAUACCAAAAAUUUUCCCAAUACAAGGCUUAAACUUGGGACAUUUCACACAUACCCAGAACAUUCAACCAUUGAAGCAUAUACUCAAUUGUGUCAUAAUUUACCAAAAACAUAUACAGAUAUUUUUGCGCUACUGAUUUACAAAAGCCGAAGUUUACAAAAAUUUAGGGCGUUACAACUCUACCUCAUAAAAGAAAAUUUUGGCCUUGAAAUUUUACCUUAUCAGAAUAGAUGAGGAUACUACUAACGUAUCGAAUCCUUUAGCUCCCAAGUAGCCUAAUCAGUGCUAUGAUUACGCCAUAAAACCUUAACUAAGGGAAUAGGCUUUCUCCUUAGAACCUUUACGUCGCGAUCCAAUAUCUACACCGGCUCCUCCUUAAAUGUUAGAUCUGGCUGAACUUCUACCUCCUCCACAAGAACAACAUGCAUGGGAUCAGAGCAAUAGUGUCUCAACAUCGAAACGUGGAACACAUCGUGGAUACGGUCUAGCUUAAGAGGUAAUUCCAACUGAUAAGCGACUGGUCCCACUCACUUCAAAAUACGGUACGGCCCAAUAAACCUAGGGCUUAGCUUGCCCUUACAAUCGAACCUUAGAAUCUUCUUCCAUGGCGAGACCUUAAGGAAAACGAGGUCUCUCAUAAAAUAUUCUACCUUCCGGCGCUUCAGAUCUGCAUAAGACUUCUGUCUAUCAGAAGCCGCUUUUAGUCAAUCUCGAAUCGAACGGAUGUUGUCCUCAGUCUCGGAAACCAUCUCUGGGCCUAGAAUACAUCACUCACCUAACUCAGUCCAGCAUAAGGGAGUGCGACACUUACGCCCAUACAGUGCCUCGUAAGUGCCAUCUGUACACUAGACUAGUACCUAUUAUUGCAGGCAAACUCUGCUAAUAGCAAGUACUCCUCCCAACUGCCUUGGAAAUCAAUAAUAUAGCCCUUCAACAUGUUCUCUAGUAUCUGAAUCACCCUUUCCGACUGACCAUCUGUCUGAGGAUGGAAAGUAGUACAAAAGUCUAACCUUGAACCCAAAGCCUCAUGAAGUUUCUUCCAGAACCGAGACGUGAAACUAGGAUCCCUAUUAGAGAUGAUCGAGACAGGUACCCCAUGCAACCUCACUAUUUCAGAAAUAUAGAGCUUGGCCAACUUUUGCAAAGAAAAGUUUGUCCUCACUGGAAUGAAGUGGGUAGAAUUAGUCAAUCAAUCCACAAUGACCCAGACAUAAUCCUUCUUAGUGGGUGUCAGAGGCAACCCACUAACGAAGUCCAUCGUUACUCGCUCCUAUUUCCACAUCGGUAUCUUAACCAGCUGUAGCAAACUUGAAGGUAACUGAUGCUCAGCCUUAACUUGCUGACAAAUCAAAUAGCGGGCAACGAAGUCAGUAACCUCACGCUUCAACCCUAGCCACCAGUACACAUCUCAUAAAUCUCGGUACAUUUUAUUUCUGUCGGGAUACAUAGUAUAAAGGCUACUAUACGCCUCCCUUAGAAUCGACUAUCUCAAGUCCUCAUCGUUCUGUACACAAAUCCGAUCACGAAAACAUAAUACCCUAUCCUUAUUAAUCCCAAAUUCCGUAGUAGUAUCACUCUCAUCCAGACGGAAAUGCAACUCUAGAGACUUAUCCCCCAUCUGUUUAUCUCUAAUCUGAUCAAUCCAUGUCUAUCUAACCUGAAGUUCUGCCAACAGACUCCCAUCGUCGAAGAGACUAAGUCGAGCAAACAUUGCUCUUAGAUCGAUCAUAGCCCUACGGCUUAACGCAUCAGCCAUCACAUUGGCUUUACUAGGAUGGUACUCGAUAGGGCAGUCAUAAUCCUUACAACCCAUCUAUGCUGCCUAAGGUUCAACUCCUUCUAAAUGAGGAGAUGUUUGAGGCUCUUGUAAUCUAUGUAGAUAGUACACUUCUCACCAUACAGGUAGUGCCUCUAAAUUUUCAGAGUGAAGACAACUGCUGCCAACUCUAAAUCAUGUGUCGGAUAGCUAGCCUCAUGAGUUUUAAGCUGUCGAGACGCAUAAGUAACCACCUUACCAUCUUGCAUCAGAACACAACCCAGAUCCACAUGCGAUGCAUCACUGUAUACUAUAAAGUCUUUACCAGGCUUACGCUGCAUCAAAAUAGGAGCCUAAGUUAAGACAGUCUUGAGCUUAUCAAAGCUCUCCUGCUGUGCAUCAGUCCAAAUAAAAGGAACUCCCUUAUGCAAAAGCUUAGUCAACGGCGUGGUGAUCAGGGAGAACCCCUCUACAAAUCGUCGGUAAUAUCCUGUUAGCCCCAGAAAGCUCUAGAUUUCAGACACAUUCUUCGGUUGUUUCCAACUCAACACAGCCUCAAUCUUACUAGGAUCGACUCGUACCCCUUCAGCAGAAAAUACAUGUCCCAGAAAUAACACUUCUCGAAGCCAGAACUCACACUUGCUGAACUUCGCAUACAAUUAUUUCUCAUGAAGAAUCUGUAGAACCACUUUGAGAUACUCAUCGUGCUGAUCCUCUGCCUUAGAAUACACCAAAAUGUCAUCGAUAAACAACAAAUUGGUACAAAUAAGGCUGAAACACACAGUUCAUCAAAUCUAAAAAUUUCGCUGGCGAUUAGUCAAACCAAAGGGCAUAACUAGAAACUUGUAAUGUCUAUAACGAGUCCUAAAUGUCGUCUUAUGCAUGUCGGCCUCCUUAACUCUCAACUAAUGAUAGCUUCAGCGCAAAUCGAUCUUAGAAAACACAGAGGCCCCUCUAAACUAAUCGAAUAAGUCAUCUAUCCUCCAAAGUAGGUACUUACUCUUGAUUGUUAACUUGUUCAACUGACGGUAGUCGAUACACAUCCUCAUUGCCCUAUCUUUCUUUUUCACAAAAAGAAUAGGUGCUCCCUACAGAGACACACUUGGACAAAUGAACCCAUGAUUUAACAACUAUUAAAUCUGAGCCUUAAGUUCCAUCAGCUCUUUCGGUUCUAUUCCGUAAUGGGCGAUAGACACCGGAGCUGUGCUAGGAAUAAACUCAAUCCCAAAUUCUAUCUCACGGCUUGGAGGUAACCCUGAUAGUCUUCAGGAAACACAUCUGGAAAAUCCCUCACUGUUCUGAUGUCUUUAACCGAAGAGUCCCUAGAAUCAAAAAUACUAAAGUAGGCCAAGAAUGUCUCACACCCUUUUUGAACCAAUUUUUUUGCUACCAAAGCAGAGAUCACAUUAGUCAGGUAGUCUCGUCGCUCCCCAAUCACCACUAUCUCACUGUCCUCCUCGCUUUUCAAGACAACCCUUUUCGUCAUACAAUCCAGACUCACCCGGUGUUUAACCAGCCAGUCCAUUCCUAAAAUCAGAUCGAACUCUCCAAACGGAAGCUCUAUUAAAUUAGCCAAAAAUACUGUCCUUUGGUCCUCUAGCGGAACGUCUCUAAACAGUUUACUCACUCGAACAGAUUGCCCCAAAGGACUAAACACAAUCAUCUCACUAUCAGUACCUUUGACUAGAAUUCCCAAGGUUUCAGACACAGUACUAACUACAUAUGAAUGGGUAGAGCCUAUGUCUAUCAAUGCCAAAUAAGGUACAUUAUAGAUUAAAAACAUACCCUUAAUGACAUCUGAAGCAUCUCUGUCCUUACGGCGACAAGCAACAUAAACCAAAGUAGGCUACCUCGCCUCAGUCGGUCCAGUACCUCUAUCUAGUGCUCUUUGUCCUUGGCCCAUGCAGUUACCACCCUUAGCCUGACCACGGCCCCUAGGUGGUUGCUGAACUACCUUAGGCGACUGUGCAGUAACAUAACCUGAAGCUUGCAUCUGAUCGGUUCUUAGUGGACAAUCACAAACACGGUGCUCAGUAGAUCCACAUCUUAAACACGCCUAAGUGGUCUUCCAACACUCGUCCAGGUAGCGUUUACCACAAUGUCCACAAAGCGUCACCCCAAUAGGUACAACAGAAGCCCUAACUCUGACUAGCCUAUCAAGUCUGACCUUUUUCUUAGGUCUCAUCGCAGAACUGUAAUACCAGCGUCUCACUAGUAUCUAGAUUCGGAAUAGUAUCAAAUGCCAAUGACUCAGCUCGAGCCCCCUACGGCCCCUACCACGACCUCUAGUACCCCGUCUAUGAGUACUACGUGUGCUCAUUGUAAAUUUUAGAAUUUAUCUAUGUUUACAGUUUUAUGCAUUAGUUAUAGUUCCAAUAAUUAUUGACAGAUAUUUUAUCCACAAUAGUAUUAGAAGUUUAGAGUCUGUUAUCGCAAAUCACAGUCUCACUACUGGUUUCAGUUUACACUCUCUAGAGCGUUUUCAGUGUAAUAUACUAACUAGAGUAGUUUCAGUAUAUUUUUAUCACACUUUCAGACAAUUCUAAACAGAGUUUCAGAAACUUACAAGAUCGGCACCGGAGACUCGAUGUGCCACAUACUUUUUUCCAAAAAUAUUUCAAAUUAUUUACAAAUCAUUUCUUUAAAACCAAUCUUUCAAACCCAAAUCCAUAGCCGAGUUUUUCAAUUUGGCUCUGGAACCACUAAAUGUAACAACCCAUACUCGGCUUAGACGUUAUGGCCGAAUCUGGCGAUGUCACAUGAUAGUGCUUUUGAAAUCAUACUUGGCGAGUAAAAACUGUUCUAGUUACUUAAUCUUUGUUAUGAAUAAAAUGCAUCUCUUUUUCACGGGAGCUUUGAAAAUAAACUAUUUUAGAGAAACUCGUAAUUAAUUUUUAAAGACCUUAGUUUUUAAGAAAAUUCGUUUAUUUUUAGUGAGAACAGAGUUUUGAUCAUGCUUGUCAAAAAUAAAACAUCAACAGUAUAAAUCGAGUUAAAACUAGAUAGUCCAAAGUCCUAGAAAUUACAAAGUAAAACCUAAAUUAAAAGAAGAAGCAUAUAACUAAGAAAACUGCAAAAUAUAGUACGUAAUUGUGGUGGUCACCGCCGAGACCUCCGCUGCACCGAUUCGCAUAAUGCUGGGGAUUACCUGAACAAGUUAAACAGAAAAUAGUGAGUUUUCAUAAACUCAGUGCGUAAUCCCCAUAGAAAAUAUACAUACAGUACAUAUCCGAAAUCAGUCAUGUAUUUAUACAUAGUUCGGGCCUGAGCCCUUUACAGAAUCGGUGUGGACCUUAGCCCACUCAAAUACAGAAUCAAAUACAGAACAGAAUAACAGAGUCCUACCCACCAGCCUCUACACACCAGCUCCGUCCAACCCUACACACUAUGCGGGGAUAAAAUCGAGCCACCUAUCCCUACACACCAUGUUGUCCCGAAAUGUGGCACAUAAUCAGAUAAUUGUAACUGUGCUUCCAAAUAUCAGGCUUAGGAGCCUUUCAGAACACUUCCUCUAUAUACAAUAACCCAACCCCGAUGCAAUGCAAGAUGCAAUACAUGACAUGCAAAUAUGCAAUUAACAGAUCAUACAUACAAAUCGGUCUAUAUGCUAAGAGUAACAUGCUAGAGCACAUAUAUCACAUAGUCAGAUCAUGUAAUCAGGGGUCAAGUACCUCUUACCAACCCUACAGUAGGUCCCAGUCGACUUAGGCGACCCGAACAACCUUUUAGAGUAUUUUAGGAAUUUGGGCUCAUAUGCCGAUGUGGCCUGCCGUGUGGGCCCACACGACCGGAGUUGGCCUCGGCCGUGUGAACCAUACAGCCUGGCCCAGAAUUCCACACGCUUGUGCGGUACACGCUCGUAUGGCCUAUACGGCCUAAUUGGUCGAGCCCGUGUCUAGUACAUCACUUCGCCUGUCCUCACACGACCGUGUCAUGCGCCUGUGUCAUGUGCACACGGCCUAGUUCGUCGAUCACACGUCCAUGUACUGCCACACGACCUACCACAGGGGCGACUAUAGGCCUGUAUAGCGUCGACAGUUUUAUUUUUCGGCUUUCACCAAUUCUCAUUUUCUGUGUUUCUGGGUACACACCUGGUUAGUUUACGCAGCAAACAUGAUCCCAAGAUUACCAGCACCUAUAAUUGACCAACAAACACCAAUUAAACACUUAAAUCAAGAACAAUUUGAAACACCUUAACACGGCCAACCCCUUAUUCCACAAAAGCUCUUACCUUAGAAUGAACGACAGUGAAUCCAAACAACCCCAGCACCAAUCGGAAUCCACAACCCCUUAAUCGUCUCUUAAACAUGAAAUAAACCCUAUUAAUCCACGAUUCAAUAUUACAGAAUUUUAAAUACACUUACCCCACUUAUCAGAGUGCAUAAUAAUACCGAAGUAUCGAAAUAUUAGCUUACGAUAACAAAGAAACAAGGAGUAACGUAUAAAUAUUGUCAAAUGGCUAAAGAGAAAGGAAGUAAUGGUAGUGGGAAAAAACACCAACAACAGAAUUUUUCCUUGAGAGGGAGAACCGAAUUUUUAAAAUAGCAAAAGAAAAAAUAAUGAAGAUAAUUCCAAUAACUCCCCAUAUCCCUCAAAUAUCUCCCACUAACCCACUAACAACCAACUAUUCAUAAUCCAAUUUCAGCACAACUCUUACAGAAAUUCGAACAAAAAUAAUACCCCUUACUAAUGCAGAGACGCGAACUCAAAACCCCUAGCACACCAACAGACUCCCUAACCAUCAAACCAGCAGACCCAUUUUGAUAUAAACUUACCAUCAAUUAAAAUAAAAGCCUACUUAUUAGAGAUAGGGCUUAUUUCAGAAGAAUACCAAAAAUUUUCCCAAGACAAGGCUUGAACUUGGGACUUCUCACACACACCCAGAACACUUAACCACUAAAGCAAAUACUCAAUUGCGCCAUAAUUUACCAAAAACAUAUACAGAUAUUUUUGCGCUACUGAUUUACAAAAGCCAGAAUUUACGAAAAUUAGGGGCGUUACAACAUGCUUCGUCAAAGUUCAAGUUAAAUAGAAGAUGAUAUAAAUUGAAUAGCAAAGCCAACUAGUUCGAUACCUAACUUUAAUUGAAUCCCCCCUAAAAUCAAAAUAGUUGUAGAUGUUUUUAAUGAAGCGCCUUAGUUACCCAUGACACUACAACUUCAUAUUUUAGACACUAAAUUCAAAUGCAUUUUGGAAUUUGGUUGACUAGCUUCUCAAAUGCCCAAAAGUACCUGGCCUGUUCCUAUAGAUUAACUUAAAAGAUCUAGGAAAGGUUACAAAUAGAGUCAUAAUUAAGAUUUAUAUAUAGUAUAAAUAGUUCUCUAUAUUUUGUUUAUGUACUAUCAAAAUAACUCUAUUUUAUGAAUAUUGCUUUCUUAGUGUGUGUGCAUAUAUAUACCAAAUUAAUUUGAAAAUAUUUCAAUAAUCUUCGGAUAAGUUAUUUAAAAAAAAGUGAAUUUUGAAGAAUAAUUUUUGUUUCAAUGAUUUAAGAUCAGGUAGAUGAAUCCCACCUUAAGGUAAAUCAAAAUGGAAUCCCUACAUAUAAUUUUUGUUUGGAUGAUUUAGUGUAACACCCUAUACCCGACCCGGUUGUUGGGUCCAAGCUAUAGGAUGCCAUAUUUGUUGUUGGAGCAACUACGAUAAAUUAUACACAAAUUAGAUCUUUAUACAUUUAGAUAUGAGUAUUACAUGUGUUUAAUGCGACAUAUAUUCAUUUAUGGGUCAUAUAUGAUUUUAUGAAAGCUCAAUACUAUUCUGGGUCAAAAAAAGACUAAAUUGUAAAGUUUGUAAAACAUCUCAAAUAGGUGUCACGACUUCCAUGGCUUGGUGUCACAGCCUUGAAGAUAGUAAGCAAGUUUCCUAACUUGAGGACCAAAUUGUAAAAUUUUCAAAAUAUUACAGAGUCAACGUCAUGACAUCAAAUAGAGGAUGUCGCAACGAAGAGGAUCAGUGACGUGGCAUCCAAGGAGUGGAGCCGAGACAUCAUCAACAAUAAACUACACUUCCAUUUUCAUACAUUUCCAAACUAACAUAUGACAAUAAUAGUUGGCUUUAAGCUCCCAAUAGACCAGUCAACAUAUAUAAAACAUGCUUAAUAUACAAUUUCUAAACCAUAAAAUCCAUUUUCAUGCAUAACUAUUAAAAAUUUUAUUUAUUCACUACAUCAUACUCAAAAUUGACCAUUUUCAACUUGAAACUAGAUAAUCUUAGGUACAUUCCAAUUGACAAAAUGAAAAGAGCUAUACAAACUUACUUGAGUUGAAAGUUGUGAUCUGGAUGUUGACUUCACCUCUUGGGGCUUUAAGAAUUACCUAAACCUGUGUAAGGGAUAAACAAACCAAACAUUAAGCGAUAAAAUUUAAUGAUACUUUCAUGGUUCAAGAUAAUGUAACAUACACAUUAGUAGCAUAUCACAAUACAAAUACACUCAAUAUCUAACCAAUUCAUGUUCUAUAAUGCCAAUCAAUCCAUUAUCGUAUACAAAUAUGACAAUGACAAACCAAUCCAUUCAACAUUGCAUCAUAUUUAAUCAAUUCAAUUCACUUCCUAAGCUCCUAUCAUUAAGUCAUUUAGCAUUCAUUAUCAUUCAUAAAUUCAAUAUCUAUACAUAUAUACCAUUGACAUUAAGCCAUCCAAAUCCCAUGAUUAAUCCAUAUCAUUUACCUUUUAACUUACCAUUAAAAUCAUUUUCCAGAGUUUAUUGACUCAUUCGCAUUAUUCGGUCCCUAGGGCUCGUUUUCAAUUGAUUUGCAUAAUAGGUUACAUGCAUUCUCUAUCUUAAUUCACAUAUAUACAUAAUGGAUUUUAUAGCAUUAUAUGAUCUCAUUUCAGUAUCAUUUAUCAAGUUUGCAAUUUAUAACCCUUAAUUAACCUAACUUAAACUCGGAUAGAUACACGGAUCAUCCAACCAACACACCAAAUUAGCAUCGAAGUGCAUUAUCGGAUAAGCCGAAGUAGGGAAAACUAACAAUGAUAGUGCAUACUGGAACACGAAGUACAUCCUAGCGUACAAAGUGUAUUCUAACACAUGAAGUGCAUCCUAUCACACAAAAUGCAUCCCAACACACAAAGUGUAUCUUGGUGUAUAAGCGUAUAAACUCAUACACAAUCCAAUCUUAUGGCAUUCCAACUAUAUCUGACACAGUCCGAACAACUAAUAGGGUACCAAUGUUCUAUUCUCAUUAUAUCAUCUGAUUCAUUUAUUAUAUCACAUUCAAUUUCAUAAUCUCAAUUCUAUUCAUCAUCAAUAUACAUGUAUUUACAUCAUAUAACAUAUUUCCAUUCAUUUUUCUAUGUCACAUAUCAUAUUUCAACUAAUUCUUGUGAUUUUAUAUUCUAUUCAAUUCAAUCCAAUUCUUGACAUUCAAUAUCAUUCAAUACGAAUCAAUUCAUACGAAAAUAUAAGAUUAUCUCCAUAGUUAAUCAUGCAAUCAACAUGUAUAUGUAUAUAUAUAAUGAUCUCGAAUCAUAAAAGUACAAACCGAGAUCUUGCGUCACUUGUCAACAACUCUCACUUUUUAUUUCCUUCUCGACAGCUCAGUGUCAAGUUAGCUACGUACGACAACACAACAAAAUAAUCAAUAUCAAUUUCCAUCAAUUUACAUUCAAACAUAAAGUUAAGUAUGUUUUACAAUUUAUUCAAUUUAAUCCCUAAACCCAAAACAAGUAUAACUUUCGAUAUGAAACUUCGGAUUAAAAUUCGAUUUCACAUUUACCUAUUAGGUACCUUAUACAUUCUAUCCCUAGCAUAAUUUCAUAACAUAUUUUGAUUUUAUUCAAUUUGGUCCCUAAUGUAACAAAGCUACAAAUCAAGCUUAUUAAGCUUUACAAUUUAGUUAUUUUCAUAAUCUAAGCUUAAUUUCUAUAAAUUUCAAGCCUAAUUCUUCAAUUUCUCAAUAAUGGUAACUUACCAAAUUUCACCAAUUUAACAAAUUGAUACAUGGGCUAACUAAAUUAAGUUCCAAUGAUUCAAUUUUCAUAAAAAUAAAAAAAAGACUAAGAACUUGAAAUUGUUAGCCGAAUAUCAAAAUAGGAUUGAAACUUUCUUCUUUUUCUUGGCUAUGGUGGACGGUCAUGAAAUGAAAAAGAUGAUGACUUUCUCCAUUAAGGUUUAACUUAUAUACUAGGUUUAGUUGUAAUUAAACUUAAUUAGUUAAAUUAAUCAUGUUUAACUAACACUAAUCAUGCUUUAAUUAAACUAAAGACAUCCACCAUCAUCAUUCACUAACAUCCAUUUUAAAUUGGUUUAUUAACCAUCCCUUGGAUAAUUUCUAUAUAAGUCCUCAAGCUUUUUCCAAAUUAAAACUUUAUAGAAAUUUAACUUUUACAAUUUAGUCCCUAAGCCUUCAUUAACAACAUUUUCGGCUAAAUUACUUAAUUAAAUUUUAAUAUAUCUAUAUAAUAACUCCGUCAAUAUCCCUAUUUAAUAUUUAUGAACUUGGCUUACAGAAAUGAGGUUCUAAAAUCGUAAUUUUUGACUCCACAGAAAACCAGAUUGUUACAUUUGUGAUUAACUCUUAUAUCCUUAUUGUCACAACCAAUCCGAUAACAUUCUCAAAACACCAUUAUACAAGUUUAUACUUUGAAAAAAAAAUUCCAAUCAUAUCAUUACAUGACAUAACAUCCCAACACAUUGAUAUUAAUGCCCCAUUUUCUAUUAUGAAAAUAGUAAAAGGUCUAGCUAAAUCUAAUGACAAUUGCCUUAAAAACUAAUGACAUUUUUCUAAAUUCUAAACUCGAAGGGUUAUGCAUAAUUUUUAGCAUACAUAUGCAACCAUCUAAAAGAAUGAUUAAAACAAUCAAUAAACAACUAUCAUCAUACACUAAACAAAUACUAAGACAAUUUCCUAAACUAACCAGUUAAGCAUGUAUCCAUUUAAGAAAAUAAAGUUAUAGAAGGGAUAAUUACCUAGAUGAAGAAGAUAUUACAACUAACUCCUUGUCCCUUGUCCAAUAGGAUUAUUUGUUUGCUGUUGCUGAAUCUAGAGAAUACUAGUUGCAAAUUUGCAGUGUUGAUUGGUAAGGCUAGUUUUUAGCAACUUCUACAUUUGAUGUGCCUUGACCAACUCUAGAAAUCAUGAUUUAUAAUUGUUAUUCCUUGCUCCCAUUAGUGACUUAAGCAGUCAAAAAACAAAAGUCAACUACAAACAUGUAGUUCUUUUAAAAAAAAGAUUUUCUAGCUACCAAAAAAGCCAUUCAAAACAUACCAAAAUACUUAGCUCAUCAAGCUAGAACAAGUAUCAACUAACAGAUUUUCACUCUUAAGCACAAAAUCUCACAAAGAAUAGAACUUGAUAUACUGCGAAUAAAAAAGGCCAUAUUAAAAAACAAAAAAAAUAGUAAGGAACAAAAGCCACCUAACAUCAUCAUUCAUCCAAUUGAUAAAUCAAAAACACAAAGACAAAACAUUUAUUUAUAUGCACAAAUUUUCCUUCUCUUGGAAAUCUUAAAAAAAAAAACUUCCCUAAACAUUAAGAAAGAGCCCUUGAGUUAGAAUUAUGAAUAAUUGGCUUAGGCUGAGUUUCAUCAAAGGUCAAUAAAUUAGUAGAUUAAAAGGUUGAGCUUGAUGGAGUUUUGUGCUUGAGACUCAGGUAGCUAGGUUUCAUUUCUUUUCAACCUACACAAAUCUACAUGAGAGAUGCCGGAUACAUCAAAAAAGUUUUAAAUUUUAGAAAAAUUGUACUUAUUUGGGAGCUAAUUUGAAGUGAAUAGGAGAUGAGGAUUUAGCAAGGGGAGAGUUUCCAUAUUUUAGUGAAGUUUUCUAAUGAAAGGAAUGAGGAAAGCUAUGUUUUGAUUAACUUACAACUGGGUAUUCUUGGUUUUAGCUAUUUUGUUUAUUUUUUAGUAGUUGAGAUUUUUGGGUCCUAUAUCUAAUGAAUAACAAUAACCCAAAUGUUUUGUGAGCAUUCUUGUACAAUUUUCUUAGCUUAAGUUAGAAUUUUCAAUGGAAAUUUUCUUUGGUUAAAAUAUGCUAUAAGUUCUGUACUCUUUCCAAAUUUGAAAUUUAGUAACUAUGCUUUUAUUUUUAGGAAUAUAGUCUCAUUUCUUUUUAGAUUUCAAAUUUUAAAUUCAAUUGUUAUUAUUAUUAUUAUUAUUAUUAUUAUUUAUUAAAUUGAUUGGUGUGACAUUUUGAAAUAAAAAAAUUUCACUUGGUAAUAAUAUAGCUAAAAAAUUAAUAGUGUAAUGAUCCUGAAUUUAACAAAAUAAUUUUAACAAUGUUGACAAUUGGAUUUAAAUUUUAAAAUCUGAAAAGUAGAGCAACUAAAUUCCUAAAAUUUUAAGGAUUAAAUUCUAAAUUUACAGAAUACAGGGACUUAUGAUUGGUUUUAACCAUUUUCUUUUAACCCUUUAUUCUCAUUGGGGUCGGAAAAACCUCGUGAUUCAAAAUUUGACCCGAUUGAGACCGGGUCUGGGCUUAACAGAGGAUUUGGAGGCGAGGAAAAGUAAAAUCCACAUUUGUGUGCGGGAGAUCUCUCACUCCCCAUCUAUCUCUAUAUAUGGCAAAAAUAAUCAAAUGAAUAAAAUAAAUAAAAAAUAAAUGCUCUGAAAAUUCGCAUUCCACGGAAACACAAUUCUCCGUAUUCUAGAUUCGCUUCAGUUCCUCAAAUUGUUGUUUGGAGAAUAAGCUUUGUGAAUCAGGUAAAGAUGAUGGUCGAGGAUCUGGGCGUGGAAGCCAAGGAAGCGGCGGUUCGUGAGGUGGCGAAGAUACUUCCUCUUCCUGAGCUUUUACAAUCCAUUUCUACCAUCAAAGCUGAUUAUAUUACCCGUCAACAGGUAACGCACUCCCUCUUUUUCUUUUAAUCUUUUCACAAUUGAGGCUUUCAAUUGCGUUGAAAUUAAAUUGGGCCAACUUCUUUUUUCCCCUCUCUUAAUUGUCAGGCAAAUGACGCACAACUUAGUACAAUGGUUGCAGAGCAGGUAUCUAACUUAACGAUUUUUAUCUUCGUUUUACUGAUCACAGGUUUCGUUUGGUUAUUAUUGCUUUAGCUACUUGAUUUCGAUGUUUUUUUUAAUUGAUAAAAAAUUUAUUUGCAAGCAAAAAGCAAGUAGCAAAAGCAAAACCAAAGAUUACUUAAUUACAUAUAUGGAUCUAAGGAAGCUCCUAUUAUUAUUUUUAAUUGUUUUUGCAUGGAAAAAUAUUACCCACUACAGGUUGAGCAGGCCCAAGCGGGACUCGAAUCGCUUAACUCAUCUCAGAAAACAAUAAGCCAGCUGCGUGAAAACUUUAUAUCUAUUGAAAAGUAUGUUCGAUACUAUUACAUUGUUAGAUGCUAUCAAUGUUUAUUCUCUUGAUUUUUCUUGAAAAUUUUCAAAUAUAUGGAUUACGUUGUUUAUCAGGUUAUGUCGAGAGUGCCAAAACUUAAUUGAAAAUCAUGAUCAGAUAAAGCUUCUUAGCAAUGUCAGGAACAACUUAAAUACAACGCUCAAGGUGAGGUUUCAGUAUCUUAUAAUUUGAAAACCAUGAUCAGUGGUGUUUGUCACUUUCUCUUGAUCGGAUUAAACAAUCAUGAAGAGAAACAAAUCAUAAUUAGUUGAUUAUUCUUUGAGUACACACCUGUGGAAGGGCAUAAAUCCCUUUUUGUAGCAUGCCUAAAAUUUUUUGUUUACCAUUUAAGGUUUGCAGCCUUUUUAAUUGUUGUUCCCAACUAGAAUGCUUUUCAAGGCUUGGACUAACUCUUGGAAAGACUGAUGGUAAUGUUAUUGGAAAAAAGAAGUUUGUCAGUUAUUUAUAAGUUUUAUUGUCAAGUUUUAUGUGGAAACUUACUUUUGUCUAGUGUAAAGCUGUGGUUAUGUGGCUUUAGUGCUUUUCAAUGUAUUAAAUUUUCUUAUGUUGUAGCAUUGUUUUUGAUAUAUUGAUUUAUUGUAGGAUGUUGAGGGUAUGAUGUCCAUUUCAGUUGAAGCUUCUGAGGCUCGAGAUUCUUUGAGUGAUGAUAAAGAACUUGUUAAUACUUAUGAGGUAUAAUUUUUUUCUAAAUAAUCACAGCAAGUUGGGGGCUCAAUGAGUUUAAUGUUUGAGAAAUUGUGUAUUGAUGCUCUAUUUCUCUUUUCAUCCUUUAUUUCUCAGAGGUUAACUGCACUUGAUGGGAAGCGGCGAUUUGCUUUAGCAGCUGUGGCAUCUCAUAAAGAAGAGGUCGGCAGGUUAAGGUGUGCAUCUCCUUCAAUUUUGUCAUGUAAAAUAUAUGAUAAUUAUAGCAAUGCCAACAUGCUUACUGGAAAAUUGAUGUGGAAAUAUUUGUCUAUGUAUUAGACAUUAAUUUCUUUCUAUUGUAUGCCUUAUCUUUUUAAAUGGUUGUUGUUAGUUUGACAAAUUUGUAAAAUAUGUUAAGAAAGAAUAAUAUCUCUGCAAUCAUUGACAAAGUGAUAUAUGCUUGACUGGGGUCAAUUCUCAGGUUUUGAAAAAUUAAUAUGUGGAAUAGUGCCCCCCCCCCCUCCAUUUAUAUUAAAGACUGAAAUUAAACAAAAACUUGAAUGGAGGAUAUCAAAUAAGUAAAACUAGGAAAAUUACCUGGCAUUGCUUGGGAUCCCAUUUUUUUAUUUUAAAAGAAAAUAAAUUGUUUGAUAUGUAUAUUUUGUUGAACAAUGAGUAUUCCAUAUUCAUGUUGGAAAAUAUAAAAAUGCAUCAUUUAUAACAUUUUAGGACUUUUUUUUCUAAAAUAAAUAUCUUUAACUAUUCAAUUUAAUUUACUAAGAAUCUGUAAAUUGAUUAUUUUGGGAUUUUUUUUUCUGAAUAUGACUAGAUUAGGGUAUCUAAUUAAACUUUAAAAUGUGAUACACAUUCAAAUAUAAUUGCUCUAUACAAAAGUACAUCAUGCAUUUUAAUGUAUUAAUACAAAGAUUAAUAUAUUUUAUCUUUAUAAAAAUAUUUACUUUGUAUGUAAACAGAUCUAUUACUUUUUGCUUUUAUAAGUGAAAGGCAAAUGAAAAAGGGUAAGAGCAAAACCAUCUCUGACUUGUAAAAAUUCAUGGAUUAUUAUAGCAAAGACAUGAGAUUGCAUCUUAAUAUAGGAGCUUUUCUUUUUUUGAAGUAAUAAGAUAACUUACCUUCUUUUCUGGAUUUAAAGUUUUUGAAAUUAAUGUAGAAGUUCUUUUUGAUAAUAAAACAUAUAAAAUUAUAGUGUUUACAUAAUGAGAGUUUGUAAUGAUGAGAUGCGAUUUAUGAUGACUGGAUUUUUUCUGCCUACACCUCUGUCUGAAGUGGCAAUUGCAAUGUUUCACAAGCCAGCCUGGAUAUUUGGUGGUAUGCAUUGGAAACGGUUCCAUUUCCUUUUGAUUUUGGCCAAUUCAAACAAAUGUUUCUUAGGUUCACCUGUACAAGAGGCUGUUCAACUCAGGUUUGCUCUUAAUGGGCUUAAAUCGUGUGACUUGAUCCUUCUUGAUGCAAGAAUGGACUUAAAACAAUGUAAUAUAGGAAAUCUCAUAUGAUGAUGGUAGUCAUAGAUUGUAAAAAAUGUUUGUAGCUUUGGUCUCACGUUUGUCAUAUUUCUUUUGCUUCAUUCUAUAGUAAAAGAUUUUUUGACUUAUUUUUAUUGGAAUCUUAACAUUGGUUGUGUCCAGGGAAUAUUUUGAAGAUGUUGAUCGAACCUGGGAAACAUUUGAGAAAACAUUAUGGGGUCAUAUUUCCAAUUUCUACAAACUCUCAAAAGAAAGGUAUGCACACAGGAAUUUGAGGAUCUUUGAAACUGGUUUGUUUGAAUAUUGUGCCUAAAUCAUAAUAUGUUUUUGUCAUCACACUUCAUUAAGAUCCCCCUAACAAGGGGUUCCUGUCUGCUGCAAUCUAUGUGCACUAUUCUCAAAGCAUUUUUAAAUUUCUUGAAAUUACCAAUUUUAUGAUUCUUGUCAGUAUCUUAAGCACACACUUUCAUGACAGUAACAUUUUUCUCUUUUUAUUUCGGUGUUCAGUAUAUUUACAACAAUAUUCAUUCUAAUGACUUCUUUAAGGUAGUUUACCUUAAAUUUUUAAUGGAAUUUUAGCAAUGAUCUAUGGAUGAAUAUGCUUGAAAAGUAGGGGUGAUAUGGUUCGGAUCAGGUUGGUUUUGGAAUAAAAAUUGUGAUUACCCUAUAGUAUUCUGUUUUUUAAUAAACCAAACCAAAUAUCAAGGUAAUCGAAUUGAAUUGAAUUCCAACAGUUUGGAUAAGUUCAGUUCAUCGUUUUUUAAGAAGUUUAAAAAAAAAAUUCUAUGUACUUUUUUAAAUUUAUUUUCACUAAUUUUUAUAUAAAAUAUUUAUUUUUAUAUUAUAAAAUUAUAAAAAAUAAAAACUAAUUAUAAAUUAAGUAAAUAAAAAAAUCGAUUUGAUAUGGAUAAUAGAAGUUUUUUUAUCUAGUGAACUGAAAACUGAACCACAUAGAUUUAAGUACUAACCAAACUGAAAGCGAACCAAACACUAUGGUUCAAAUCAAUUUUCAAUUUUCUUGGUUUUUUUGCUCAGCCCUAUUGGAAAGAUGUGUAAUUUUUUGCUUUAGGGAUGAUAAAUUUUCAAUUGAGAAUUUUUUAUCCAUAGGAAGGAAGAACUAAGUUGAGAACUCUAGAUAUAAAGCUUGUCAUUGUGAAAUCGAGGGAGAGAGAAAGAGGAAGAAAGAAGACAGCUUUGCUGUCACUGCUUUGGCUGUAAUCAGCUUUGAACAAGAAGAAAAGAAGAGAGUAGAGAGAAAAGGGUUUUCUGAAAUAAUUUCUUGUGUAUAUACAUUAUGCUUCAUAACAUAUUUAUACUAGUACCUAGAUAUACAAUGAAGGAAAGGUAUCUAAACUAAUGCUAAUUAACCCCUAGAAUUAUGCACAAAAGGUACUAAUAAUAUCAUAACAUCAAUCAACAUGGUCAUAAAGAUCUCCCCUCUCUUUUGCAUUUUUUCUAUUGUUGCACGCCUUUUCAACCUGCGCCUCCUUUUCUAAUAAAUAUGCAUGUAACAUAUCUUCUUUCUAGUUUGAGCAUUUUUCUAAAUUUUCUAAAUUCGUAGAUUGUUUUUUUAAGUGUUUCACCAAACUAUAAAAAACCCCCUUAUUUGAGUAUUAAAUUUGAUUGAAAAGCUUUGAGCAUUAAAUUUGAUCAUGAAACUUGAUUGUUAGUUUGUGCCUUUUAAGCAUUCAAUCCAAAACCAGUUUCUAAAAAGACCUAAAUUUAAGGGCCUUGUGAACCCAAACUAAAUCCUUGCGGCAUAACACCUUUAAUGACUUCCAUUUCAUCUUUAGGCUUGGUUUUUCAAUUGAAACAAAUUGGUCUACACAAGAACAACACAUAUGGGUUUAACAUAAUAACUAAAUAUGGGAUAUUAUAGAAUGUUAAGCAAAGAACUCAAAAUCAGCUAAUUGAUGAUUGAGAGUAAAAAAAGAUCUUAAUGUAGCUGAUAACACUUGUUGGUACCUUUUCAUUGGGACAUGAUAGUUGGAGAUGCUAAUUUUGGUUUCGAGUAUUAGCCGUUGAAUAAAUCUUUUGUGAGAUGUUCCAUUGAAUGGUAACAAGAAAGAAUAUUCAAUUCCCACUCUCGUCACGUUUGAAUAAUUACAAUUUGUCUAGGAAUGAAUCUUUCUAGGAGAGUAUUCCAAUCAAUGCAUGAUUUAGGGAUACCAACAAAUCCAAUGUAAGCCAAGAUCUCUAAUGCAGACAAUUGCAUAACAUCACCUCUUCCAACAGGAUAGUUGCCCAUGGUGGAAUCAUGUUGUAACUGAAAAUUGGUAAGUUGUACAAACGUUGGAUCCUUUAGAGCUUAAUCAGACUCUCGAAAUAACCUCUUAAAUAUGAGUUUGCAAUGUAAUAUCUUCCAUUUACUUCGAUCCUUAGCUGCCUUGAUUUUUGCUAGUAGUUCACCAAUAUCCUUAGUAUCAUCUAACUCUAUGUUUACAUAUGGACGCUGAGGAAAAUAAUCAUGCAAGAUAGAUACUAUGUUUACAUAUGGAUUCCAAAUCAUUAGCAAAAGGUCCUCAUUCAUAUGUUUCUCAUGAAUUUCAUCCACUAGCAAUUGAUUUUCUCUAGAAGUCACUAGAACUCGAUUUUCAACAACUUUCAAAAUGUCUACUUUCAUGUUGAUUGCGGGUAGUUUUCUUCGAAAGAUUCUUUACAUCGUUAUUAGUUUUUGUGAUUUUUCUUGAGUUCAAUUUUGAUUUUUUCUCUUGGUAAAGGUCGUUUCGAUUGUAGAAACUAAAUCAAUUUCUUUGUACUCCAAAACCAUUCGCUGAAGUUGUGCCCCUUGAGAUAUCCAAAAAAUUUUCGACUCACCUCCAAUCCUCCCUUUCUUUCCAGGAUGUGGUUAUCAUUCUAUAAACAAUGAAAGACUUCUUCAAAUGGAUGCUGUGAAAAAUAAGAUAUUUUCUAUUAUAUUUUUCACAAGAGAUUACAUACAUAUUUGUACACAUAGUUAGCCUAACUAAGGUAACUUUACGCUAGGAAACAGAAUAAUUGUAGGGAUACUGUACAGCCUUAAAGUUAGGGAUAGAAUAUUUUUAGAAUCAUAUUUGAUAUACUCAAAUAUUCUGAAAUCUGACACUCCCCCUCAAGCUGGGAAGUGGAUAUCAUCCAUUCUCAGCUUGCUUACUAAUUUCUGAAACAACUUCCCAGACAAUCCUUUGGUAAGUAUAUUUGCUAGUUGUUCAUCAGUGGACACAAAUGGAGUGCAAAUUAAGCCACAGUCCAGUUUUUCCUUUAUGAAAUGUCUGUCCACCUCAACGUGCUUCGUUCGAUCAUGUUGAACUGGAUUAUGUGCGAUAUUGAUAGCAGACUUAUUAUCGCAAUACAACUUCAUUGGACCUUCCCACUUGAUCUUCAAGUCUUCCAAUAUAAUCUUUAGCCAUAACAACUCACAAACUCCAAGAGCCAUUGCCCUAAAUUCAGCUUCUGCACUAGAUCUAGCCACAACGUUUUGUUUUUUACUCCUAGUCACAAGGUUGCCUCCUAGGAAAGUGCAGUAACCAGAGGUUGAUCUUCUAUCAACCAUAGAUCCUGCAUAAUCUACAUCGAUAUAGGCUUCAAGGGUUAAAUUUUCUCCUUUUUUAAAUAAGAUUCCUUUGCCUGGCGUGCCUUUUAAGUACUGUAGAAUCUGAUAUACAGCACUAAGAUGUGAUUCCUUAGGAUUGUGCAUAAAUUGACUUACAACACCUACUGCAUAGGCAAUAUCUGGUCUGGUAUGGGACAAGUAAAUAAGCUUCCUCACAAGUUUUUGAUAUGACCUUUUAUCAAGUGCUGUAUCUUCUAAUACAUCUCCGAGUCUGUGGUUCACCUCUAUGGGUGUCUCUGCUGGUUUACAGCCCAACUUGCCUGUUUCUGUCAACAAAUCAACUAUGUAUUUUUGCUAAGAUAUGAAUAUUCCUUCCCGAGAGUGUGCCACUUCAAUACCAAGGAAAUAUUUUAACUUACCUAGCUCUUUGACUUAGAAUUCUUUUACUAGACAUUUUUUUAACUUCUCCAUUCCUUCUAGAUCAUCACCAGUCACAAUAAUAUCAUCAACAUAGACUAAUAAAGCAGUCACUCCCCCUGAAGAUGAAUGUUUUACGAACAGAGUAUAAUCUCCUUGACUCUGUUUAUAUCCCAACUUGAGCAUCACUUUGGUAAAUCUUCCAAACCAAGCCCUCGAGGACUGUUUUAGUCCAUAUAAAGCCUUUUUUAGUCUGCAAACUGCCUGUCCUGUAUUUGGACCGAAUCCUGGAGGAACAUUCAUAUAGACUUCCUCCUCAAGGUCACCGUGUAAAAAGGCAUUUUUGAUGUCAAAUUGCUGUAAUUUCCAGCCUCGGUUGGCAGCUAGUGACAAUAACACUCUUACAGUGUUCAUCUUUGCAACAGAGGCAAAUGUCUCAAGAUAGUCUAUCCCAUACAUUUGAGUGUACCCUUUAGCAACCAACCUUGCGUUGUACCUCUCCAAAGAACCAUCUGACUUAUAUUUCACUAUGUACACCCAGCGACAUCCCACCGGUUUCUUUCCUUCCGGUAAUUUCACUAAGUCCCAUGUCUUAUUUUUUUCAAGAGCUUCCAUUUCAACCUUCAUGGCAUUUCUCCAAUUCUCAUCUUCUAAUGCCUCGAAUACAGUUUUAGGAAUGGAAAUAGAAUUUAGGCUAGUAAGAAAGGCUUUGUGGUUAUGGGAAAAGUUUUUGUAAGACAUGAAUAGGUGCAAGGGAUGUUUUGUACAAGCUCUAGUCCCCUUUCUAAUAGCAAUGGGAAAAUCAUCUAAAUCUGUAGUAUUAGAAUUCAAAGUAGGUUCAGCAGUUACCUCAGGUCGUAUAGGAGAAGAAGAUGAUUGAACUUGCACUGGUGCCUUCUUCCUUGAGUAAACCAGUAACGGACGAGUAGUGUCUUGAAUUCCUCUUGGUGAUUUGGGUGUACUAGGCUCAGUUUCAGGUUGUAUAGGGGUCAUUGUUUCAAGUUGGGCAGGUUGGGUAGCAGGCAAGGUCUGAGUGAGAGUGUUUGAUUGCUGGACAGGAGCCGGAAUGGGAGUGUUUAAAGCUGGAAUGAGAGUGUUUGGUUGUUGGACAGGAGCUGGAAUGUCAAGAAGAAAGAAUUCUUUGUCCUUAUCUUCUGUGAAUAAGAUCUCCCCCUGAAGAUAAGGACGAGUGAAGAAAUUUUCUUGUUCAGCAAAAGUAACAUCAGCUGUUACAAAAAAUUUUUUUGUGGCUGGAUGAUAGCACUUGUAUCCCUUUUGAGUGGAAGAAUAUCCAAGAAAGACACACUUGACAGCCCGUGGAUCAAAUUUCCCUCUAUUUUGAGAAUGAAUAUGGACAAAGGCGACAGCCAAAUACUUUGGGAGUAAGAUUACUGGAGGUAUUGAAAUCAGGAAAAAAUUUGGCUAGAACUUGCAUAGGACUUUGAGAUUCAAGGACCUUUGUAGGCAAUCUAUUUAACAAAUGAGUAGCAGUUAGAACAGCCUCCCCCAGUAUUGUUUAGGGACUUUUUUUGGAACAACAGGGCUCUUGUAAUGGCUAAAAUGUGACCAUUCUUUCUUUCGGCUACACCAUUUUGUUGGGGUGUACUAACACAAGAUGACUCAUGUAUAAUGCCUCUUUCUUGAAAAUAUGUUGAGAGGAAUUGAUUGAAAUAAUCCUUGGCAUUGUCUGACCUAAACCUUUUUAUUUCGGCCCCAAAUUGUGUUUUGAUCAUGUUGUAAAAAAUUGGAAAGACAGACCUAACAUCAGAUUUUUGUUUUAAAAGAAAAAUCCAAGACACACGAGUACAAUCAUCAAUAAAGGAUACAAACCAUCGAGCUCCAGAAAUAUUUGAAAUAGUGGAUGGCCCCCAAACAUCACUAUGAACAAGAGUAAAAAGAGUGGAUGUUCUUUUAUUGCUUACUGGAAAAGAGGUACGUUUAUGUUUUGCAAGUUCACAGAUAUCACAAUGAAAUUUUUCAACAGUUAAUCCUUUGAAUAGUGAAGGAAACAUAAUUUUAAGGACUCUAAACGAUGGGUGACCAAGACGAAGGUGAUAGAGCCAAAUUUGGUCUUUAUUGGUUUUAAUAGACUCGGAUAUGAGAGAUAAAUGUGAGGAAUUCAGAACACUAACUUCUUCACUGGAUUCUUCAAGAUAGUAUAGGCCAUUUAUUUCCUUAGCAUGUCCAAUCAUCCUCCUCGUAUUCUGUUCCUGAAAAAGACACCGAUUGUGAUAGAAAAUCACUUUACAGUUAGAGUCUUUGGUAAUUUUUUUAAUGGAUAAAAGAUUGGUAAAUAAUUUUGGAACAUGAAGGACAUUUUUAAGAGUAAGGUUUUUGUUUAUAACAAUAUCACCUUGACCGGCCACUGUGAUCACAGAACCAUCAGCUACUGUUAUUUUUCUACUACUAGAACAAGGUGUAUAUGAAACAAAUUUUUGUGAGGAGUGGGUCAUGUGGUCUGUAGCUCUUGAGUCAAUGACCCAAGAACUUUUGGUAUUUGUAUUUGAGACUUUAGAACUUUGAGGAGAGGAUAUACCUGAAAAGGCCAAACUACAAGUACCUGUUGAAGAAGUUUUUUCCAAUGAUCCCAGCAAAUUUUUUAACUUCUCAAUUUCUUCUUUAUUGAAUUCAAUAGGUAAUUCCUGAGAAUUGUUUUUUUUAUCUAGCUGUCUAGCUGUAUUUGCUCGUCCUUGUCCCUUUGAUUGUCCACCUUUUUCUGAAAAUUUUUUGUUUGUUGUCUGUGGCUUCCCAUGGAGUUUCCAGCAUCUGUCUUUAGUGUGACGAGCCUUUUUGCAGUAGUUGCAUCAUACGAAAUCCUUGUUAAAAGACUUUGUACGUUCUAUCUGUCUAUUAUCUUCACUAGUUGGCUGCUCCAGGCCAAAUCUCCUCUCAUUUACAGCAUUAGUAACCAAGGCUGAACUAUCCACUUGAUUGUUCUCCACCAUAACUCCUCUUCUUCCUUCCUCAGCACGAACAAUUGCAAUUGUUUCAUUUAGUGAUGGUAGUUCCUCUUUUCCAAGUAUUUGAACUCUUACUGCAUCAAACUCAACAUUCAGUCCAGCAAGAAAAUCAUAAAUUCGAUCCUUUUCAACAAACCUUUUCAGGAGUGCUGCAUCUUCACUGCACUUCAUCUGAAUGCACUGGUAAUGAUCCAUCUCUUGCCACAAACUUUGCAACAGAUUGGAAUACUCUGUGAUUGAUCGACUUCCUUGCUUGGUGGAUGAAAUCUUAGUCUUGAUUUCAUAGAUUUGAGCAGCAUCUCGAACUUUAGAAUAAGUCUGCUUCACAGCUUCCCAUAUUUCUUUGGAUGUGCUAAGAAACAUACAUGUAUCACUGAUUUCUGGCAUCAUAGAGUUCCAUAACCAAGACAUUACCAUAGAGUCUUGUUCAUCCCAAGCAUCAAACUUAGGGUUCCCUUCUUUAGGUCCAGUUUCGAGUAAGUGACUCAGCUUUCCUCUUCCUUUCAAGAAGGUAACCAGUUGGGACCAUUUCAGAUAAUUUUUUCCAUUUAGCCUGUAGGCUACUUGGAUAUUCUGAGACUCACUCAUUGGAUUUGAGUUGUUUACAGAAAUUUCUGAGCCCUCCCCAGUGUUACUGGUCUUGAUAGUUUCAGUCAUGUUGUGUCUGAACAAGUUCUAUAGACUUGAGGACUGGUUGGGAGUCAGAAAAAAAAAGGCUAAAGAAACCGGCUAAAAAAUCCCAGAAAUCGGGCUAAAUAACAGGCUCUGAUACCAUGUGAAAAACAUGAUUUUUCUAUUAUAUUUUUCACAAGAGAUUACAUACAUAUUUAUACACAUAGUUAGCCUAACUAAGGUAACUUUACGCUAGGAAACAGAAUAAUUGUAGGGAUACUGUACAGCCUUAAAGUUAGGGAUAGAAUAUUUUUAGAAUCAUAUUUGAUAUACUCAAAUAUUCUGAAAUCUGACAGAUGCACAUCACUCAUUAUAGAUAGGAUCCAAUAGAUCAUAGUCUUGCUCUUCAACAUGCAUCUAGAUAAGAAAAUUAGCAACUUCAACAUUAAUUACUCCUCCAUUUAAUUCAAGGGCAUGCACCAUUAGAUCUUCCAAUCGACCUUGUACCGCAAGGUUUGUGGGUCUAGUAUCAUGAAAGGGGUUUUCUUCCUUACUAAAUUCAAAUUCAUUAAUAAGACUACCUUAUGGCAUGUCAAACUAGUUGUGGGAACCUUCUAGAAUCUCCAUAUGGGUUCCCACUUGUUCUUAUUGCAAUCAAGUAAAAAUUGCACAUGACAAUUCUUCAAUUGCGCAUUGCAUCACAAUUACUUUUGUUUCUUGAUCCCAAUUUCCUUAUCCUCAAUCUCUACCACUUUUGACCAUGGUUUAAAAGCGAACCUAAUUUAAACCCUAGGAUACAAUUAGGCUCUAAUAUCAAAAUUGAUGUGGUUUUAAGGAAAACUACAGUAAAUCAAUAGAAUAAUGGUUGAACAAAUGAGUAAGAAAGGUGGAACUCUAGAAAACAUAGGGUCAUAAAACCUCUAGUUUCUCUUUAUCAUUUCAAAGAAAAAAAUGAGAAUGUUGAUGUUGUGCCUGUAAAUAUUUUGCAGCUAAUUUAUAAUAAGCUUUCUUGCAAAUAAAGUUCUAAUCCUAACCCUAGAUUUAAACUGAUAAUUAAUAAUUCUAGUCAUCUAACUAUAUGUCUUAUAAAAAAUAAAAUAAAAUAAAAUAAAAUAAAUUUCCUGUUUCAGUGAUGGGGAAAUGGUGUUGAAAAUUUUAUAUUCAGUUUGAAAGAGGGGACUUCUACUCUCUAAAAGCUUCCUGGCUUAAGUAAGUCUCUAGCUGGUGAAAGGUGUCUUGUAAAUGAUGCCCUUGAUUUAAGAUCAAGCUUUUGGUCCAGAAAAGCAACCUCUUGAAUUUCCAAAAUUGCAACUGUCUAUUAUUUAUUACUAUUAUUUGCAUUUACCGCUCCUUCUUACAUUGCACUUAUAAGCUGUUAGAAAUAUUGGUAAAGUCAAUAUUGAUAAAUCCUUAGAAAUAUUGGUAAAUCGUUAGAUAUUUUGGUAAAAGCUUUUUCUAAGCUUUUUUUAGUGAAGCUUAUGGUAGAAGUGCUGGCAUAACUUGGGACGGAGUUUCUUUACCUAUAUCACAGAAUAUUAGAAAGGAGCAAAUAAUGGAUUUCUUUACUUGUUUUUUCAUGCAUCUGAUUUUAUCACAAUGUUUCUCCACUGGGAAUCAGAGCAUUUAUUCUCUGCCUGGAUUGAUUGUUUUGUAAUAAUUAUCCCCUGUGCUAUUUUUUCCUAGAGUUGCUUUUACAAUUGUUAGCAUAUUCAACCUUAAAUAGGUUAACAAUUUGUUUUAUUUUUUUAUUCUCACUUUUACAACCUUUACCUAUUUUGCAGUCCACAAACUCUGGUUCGUGCUUUGAGGUAUGCUGUUAAUAAGCUUUUAAAAUCAUUUCUAUUUUGCUGCCAUGUAUUUUCAAGGUCCUAGGAUAAGUUUGAAAAUUUAAGCAUUUUUUAUAUUGAGGUAUAUAGGUUUCUGCUUGUACUUUUGCUUUGUAAUGCCUGGUAAUGAUACUUGGUUUUUUGUGGUUGGGUUGGUAUGAUAAAGAGUAGUUGUAUUUAACUUUUUGACCUCUUCUCUCUAAUAAGUUUCUUGGACUUCCCUGCUAGAGUUGUCGAAAUGCAAGAAAUUCUUGAUCAACAACUUGCUGAGGAGGCAGCUGAGGCUGAGGGUGAUGAAGCAAUGGCAGCUAUUGCAAACCCUCGAAGAGCUGGCAAGUAUGUAUCUGGUGUGAUUGUUUACUGCCGCAUAUUUUAUUUGCAAACUAUUGUUAAUGCUUUUGAAUGAUCAAUUAAUAAUUAUAUGUUAAAGUUAUCCUUUAUGACAAUGUAGAAAAUCUACCAAGUCUUCAGCUUCUUCUAAAAAUUUAGCACAGCAAAAGUUGAAGGUUCAGGGGAAAGGCUACAAGGAUAAAUGCUAUGAGCAAAUAAGGAAGACAGUUGAAGAGCGGUUCAACCACCUUUUGACAGAGGUACUUUUCGUAAUAAUCAACUUAGUACAUGAGAAUGGUAUACUGAAUCCUUCUUAACCUUUCAUAUGAUUCUAAUGGUAUUUUUUACCCCAGCUUGUCUAUGAGGACCUAAAAGCAGCUCUGGAGGAAGUUAAAACGGUAUGCUCAACUGAUCACUUUAUUGGUUUCUAACUUUGUGCCUGAUUCUUACUGAAGGGACUUCAAAAUGGCUCACAUAUGGUAAUUUAGUACACUGGUUGCUGUUCUGCAUAGAAAUUAUUUAAACACUUCAACUCAGUGAUAAAAACUAAAACAUUGUUAGAAAAAUAAACCUAGAAGAAGCUUGAUGAAGGUUUUACAUGGAAUUCACAAUCAUGCUUCAAUUUAGCUGAAAGAUAAUUGAUAGCAGCAUGAUUUGCAAAGUUCUGACACACAGCAAAGUUUUAUAUUACCCAGCCCUAGUCCACAAUAUAAUACAUAAAUUACUUAAUGUAAAUCAUUCCAUCUAAUGGGAAAGAUUAGAGAUGAUAUAAUGAUUUAAGUAGUUGCAACGAGGAAUUAUUACUUCCUUUAGAAAAAUCAAAUCAUACUAAGCCUAUGAUAUAAGGGGUUUCUACAAUUGUCGGCUUAUCAUAUUUUUGUUAAGAAACUUGCAUGUUUAUUUUUCUUUUUUAAAAUUAGAUUCUAGGUUUACAUAGUAUAAUUGCAAUUCUACAUUGCCAUUUGCAGACUUUAAAAACACAUUUAUCUAAGUCAUCUUUCUAUGCCUUUCGUUUAAGUUCUAGUCUAGAGGUUUCUUGUUCUGGGUUAAUAUGGUAUUAAUAUCUUGAUGAGCAUAUAGCAAAUAUUCUUUGUGAAACGCUCAUGACACUUCAUCUCUUGCUGCACUUUCAACAUUGACUUCUGUAGCCUAUCAUGAUAGUUAUUCAUUUCAUAUCCUCUACACAUGCAUACAUACAUACACGUGUGUGUAUAUCAUGGGAGCUCAAGUUUGAUUGCUAAUAGUUUUUGCUUGUAGCAUUUUUUAGUUUUUUUUUUUUUUAGUUCUGACCUUUUCUUUAGAUAAAAUUGCUUUUGUAUUUGAUACGUGUGAAUUUUUUGUUUUUUGAUAAUUAGCUUGGAGAAGAGCUUGGAGAUAUUUAUGAUUACGUAGCUCCGUGUUUUCCUCCAAGGUUUGUCUUGCUACAGACCUGCUUCUUUUUCUGAGUUCAUUUGGUUUGAUGUCGAGCAAUUAGACUAUGUAUCCCCCUCAUUCUAGAUUCCAUGUUUACAUUUCUGAUGAAAAUUUUUCUUUGAUAUCCAUUUUGAAAUUGCAUUAUGCUCUUGAUGGAACAAUUUGGUCUUUUGCCUUGAGUUUGCUCUAUUGGCAUCCCAUUAUCUUCAUAUGUAAAUAUGACCUGCUUUGUAUGUUUGAAAACUUGACCCUUUGACUGAGGUCUGGUAAAUCCGCAGUUUUUUUUGGAUGGAGCAUAUGGGAUUGUCUAAGUUCUAAUCCUCAAUAAUUGAUUAGUGACCCAGAAAACUUUAGUUCAAGCAAAUGUACAAUGGAGGGUUGAAGCUUUGUCCUCCUAGGCCUGGUUGUUCUAUUAUAAGUUCUGGUUUCAUUAUUGUCUGUUUCCUUUAACAAGUUGGCAACUCAGGGACAAGAUAAAAGGGAAACUGGGUGGAAUUCUCAAUAUAACCACAGUGUAGACAUAGUUUUGAUCAUAUAACUAUCUAUUAUACAAAUUAUUUCAAUGAAACUUUUAUAAUUUUCAAAGAAGCAUACUAAACAGAUUAGCUUUUACAUAUGAAUAGCUUGUAAAUUGUAGUAAUUGAGUGGAUUUACCAUUAAAGGGACAGCUAGAAUAAAUUGAACAUGGUGUAAGCAUCAGUGGGUUUGACCACCAGAGAUAUAUGAACUAGGUAUAAGCAUGUUGAAGUUCGGUGUUAAACAUUCUAUUUGCUGAUUUUUGGAACUUGAUAUUGACCAUGGUAUUUGUUCCAUCUUCUUGUUCUCUAUUUUAGCUAAUGGGAUUCUUGCUGCUUGCAUAAAUUGUUAUUUGCUAUUUCUGAAUUAGAGUUGAUGUUGAGUCAGUUUUAAAAUUACACUAUUUGAUCUGCUCUAACUCCUAGGUGAUAAAGGAAGUUGAAAUUUAAGCUUAUGCUUUGUGCCUCUAUUCACUUAUUCUGUGGUGGUUAUAUAGACUUCUGGUUGAAAUCAUUUGAAGAGCUAAUUAUCAAAGAUGCAGAAGUGCAUUUUGAUGUACGUGUACAUAUUUCUAUCAAUAAGAUUGUGAGUCCGCAUGCAUGUUUAUCUUAUAUUACUUAAUAUUAAUAUGUCCAUGCAUGCAGGUGUGUUUGAAUUAUGCCAAGCUUUCUAGUCAAAUGCAGUACCUCAAAGUCCUAGUUUCAUUUGCUAUGUUAUCACUAGUCAAUUUUUACCACUAGGGACUUCUUAUAAAUGCUACUGUGGCUUUUGACUAAUUUACAUUCCUUUUCUGCUUCACUUUUCAAGCUGAGAAAACUUGUGGUUUACUGUUGGGGUUUUACACACUCAUGUUAUUAUUACUAUUAGUUACUAUUAUUAUCAAUCACAGUCUACUCAUGCAAGCUUAAGUCAGGGGCGGUGCGAAGGGGGGUAGGCCCUGAUCCCCCAAAAAUGGAAAAAUAUCAUUCUAGUCUUUUUUACAUUUCUAAAAUUAUAAGUUAUUUUAAUGGUAAAAUAUAAUUUGCCCCCUUCAAGAUGAUAAAAUUUUAGUUCAAUCCCUUUAAAAUUUCAAAAAUGAUAAGCAUAUACAAUGAUAAAAUUGUAAUUUGACCCUUUUAAAAUUUUAUAAUUUAACUCCACCCCUUCCCCCCAAAAACAAAAAUUCUGGCUUCAUCGCUAGCUUAAGUUGUCUUCUUGUUCUAAGUAUUGUGUAGGCACGCUAAUUCAAUUCAAAUAAAUUAUCUGCUGAAAUUAGAUUGAAUAUGAGAUAAAUAAAUUUAAUUAUUUUGAUUUAUAGUUGAAGUUUGCUUUUUUAUUCUCAAUGGGAUAGCUCUCUCCCAUCUUUGUACUACCAACAGCCAAUGGCAUAAUUCCAGCUGUUUUAAAAGGUUGUCCACAGAGUUUGUUCAUGCUGCUGCUGUAGUUUUGAUAAAUUGUGGCUGUAUGUGACCUGAUUUUGGUGUGUGGGAUUAAUAUGGCAGUGUGCUUUGCACUUCGAAAUCUUCUAUGAAUUGUUCUAUGUCUGAUGCUAUCUUCCUUUCUGGCAGAUAUGAAAUAUUCCAGCUCAUGGUAAAUCUGUAUACAGAGAGAUUUAUUCAAAUGCUUAGAUUGCUUAGUGACAGAGCCAAUGAACUGACAAACAUUGAGAUAUUAAAGGUACUCUCCAGAAUCUUCCAUGGUUUUCAAAUAUGACACCCAAAUUACUUUGCAUUUUUGCAACUUUGCUCAUUGAGGAUCUUGACCUGUGCAGUAUGCACAUUAUUAUCAGUUUAUAAUUGCUGACGAUUCUAACCCUGUAUUUGGUGGAAUGAAUAUCCAUAAUAAAGAUCAACUGAAUCUGAAAGCGUGUACAACUUGACAUUUAAGUGUGUCUCUCCUAUGAGAAGAAUUAGCUACUGGGCUAAGUUUUGCGAAAGCGAAUAUUUUUUACAACAAGUAUCUCCUGAUUUAUCCGUCACUGUAGUUGACCAUAAGACAGAAAACUAACAUCAGUGCAACAUGGAAAGAAGCAUAUCUUCAAGUAUUGUAUUUCAUAAUAGAGAUGAAUUAACUUUGACCUAAGAAGUCAGUUAAUCACUUUCAUUUUGAUGUCUUCGAGUUUCAUUUAUUUUUUAACAUUUUAAUUUAAUUUUCUUAUGGCACAACCUUUUUCUUAACUUUGUAUCAGUGUUGUAUUUCUAUCUUGUUUUAACUCAUGUAACUUUAGUAGUUUAUGGGUAUUAUUGCUUGCAUGUAGGUAACUGGGUGGGUAGUUGAAUACCAAGAAAGUUUAAUCGGGCUUGGUGUUGAUGAGACUCUUGCUCAAGUGUGUUCUGAGAGUGGUGCCAUGGAUCCUCUCAUGAAUUCAUAUGUCGAGAGAAUGCGAGCCACAACAAGGGUAACAAUAUACAACCCUAUUAAUCUUGGUUACUGUAUGGGAAAUUUAAAGUGUAGCUUAGAUCUUUUCUAUUUGUCAUUUUGUUAUUCUUUUUCUAGAAAUGGUAUUUAAACAUCUUGGAGGCUGACAAGGUCCAACCACCAAAGAAGACGGAAGAGGGAAAGCUAUAUACUCCUGCUGCAGUUGAUUUAUUCAGGAUACUCGGGGAGCAAGUACAAAUUGUUAGGGAUAAUAGCACUGAUGCCAUGCUUUACAGGAUUGCUUUGGCAAUAAUUCAGGCAAGUUAGUGGAAUCUGACAAAGAUACUAUGCUUCUUGACUUGGGCGAUUCUGUUGGAAUUGCCGGGGAUAUAACAAAAUGUUUUUUUAACAUUUGUCAGAAUUAGUUCCUAAUGUAAAUAUUAUAUAAUCAACAUCGUUGUGUUUUUUUUUUCCUUUUUAUGGCUGUAUUUCUAUGCUAGUACAGCUUGGGCUUUCCUUCAAUGUUUUUAAAAUGUCUCUAAUCUUAAUUGUAAAGGAGUGCCCAAAUUUAUUCUCCCGUCAACCUCUUCCUCAGGUACUGAGUUUAGAUGGGAGCAUAUUACAUUUUUCCCAAUUUCCAGCUUUUACAAGGUUUACUUGAGAGAAUUGACUUCGAUUGAGCUUAUUUUCUUUUGAUGUUCUCAACACUCAAUCUAUUUCAUCAUUGUUUUUCCUUGCCACAUUUUAUAGGUUUUCAAAUAUACCUACGAGGUCUUAUUCUUUUAUUGAAUUGGGCAUGUAUUAUAUGAUUCUUUUUCAGGUAAUGAUUGAUUUUCAAGCAGCUGAAAAGCAGAGACUUGAAGAACCUGCUUCUGAUAUUGGUCUGGAACCUCUAUGUGCAAUGGUUUGUAGAUAUUCUGGGGGCUUAGUUUGUCUCUAUUUCUCUUUUUUCUCUGGAUAAUUAAGUUUGUGGCCAUGUCAUUUUGGUCUUACUGUUUGCUGAACUUGUCUACCCUUGGGGUUGUAUUCCACCAUACCCUUCCCAGAUUAACAACAAUUUGCGCUGCUAUGACCUUGCACUGGAGUUAAGUAACAGCAUCAUAGAGGCUCUUCCACAAAACUAUGCUGACCAGGUUUUGUUUUCUUUCCUGCUAUUAUUUUGACAGCAAUUGCAAAUGAUGGGAUAGAGUUAGUCAAAUUUUCUCAAUUUGCACUAACUGUUGCUUUAGAAAGUUCCUUGUACAUAUAUUAUCUACAUUAAAUAUUUCAAUUUCCAUGAUUGUGUUGUGCUCAUGUUCUUCUAUUGUCUUGUUCUCUUGAAAGAAGUUUGUGCUCAUGUUUAGCCUUCUUUCCAUUGUCCAAAUCCAAUAUCCUUGCCUAUUUCAUGUGUAGCCACACAUGAGUGGACAUGAUCUAUAAAAAUGUUACUAUCCUUCAUUGUGCUGUUUUGAAAUCCAAUAUCCUAGCCUUCUGUACAGGUAAAUUUUGAAGACACAUGCAAAGGUUUCUUGGAGGUUGCAAAGGUAUGCUCAAAAUUGUACCAUUUUAUCCCCUCGCUACCCUUUUAUCAUUCCCUUUCUUUUGGAUUUAAGGUGAAAUUUAGUUUUGAUCUGUUUGAACUUGUUGAGGUAUUUUGGGCUUGAUCCUGUUUUGUACUUACUAUUUAUUCCGUAAAGUUCGAAAAUUGCCUUUAUAUUACAACCACUUUCCUGGAACAUAUAAUUGCUAAAGUUUUUUUUAAUAAUGUUCGUCUUGUUGGUCACCGUAAGCUCUUUGCUAGUUAAUUCGUUUGUUCCAUGUGUCUGUUCAUAUGUUAGAGAGCUGAAUCAAAAUCAGUUGGGACACAUACGGACUGAUAAUGGUUUGUGGCUUUGGUUGAACAUUUCCUGUUUUAUUUAUUUAUUUUGGUUUGGGGUAUGGGGGAUUUUAAUCUUGUAACUAGACUUGUCUGAGGGCUGGGGCUGCUCGCCAGCUAGGUAGGCCUGGCCCCUGCUUGGAGAAGAUACAUUUAAAUUCUGUUCGGUCCGAAUUACUAUUUAUUAAUUAAAAAAACAUUUUUUAUUUAAGUUCAAUUCUAAAAAUACAUAAAUAUUGAUAUUUUUAAUAUUUUUAACUUUUAAUAUUCAAUGAAUAGUAAAUUCGGACUUUCGGGUUACCUGCGCCAGAAAUGGGCCUGAGCAAAGAAAAUAAGAGAUUCUGGCUGCGGCUUAGUCCAGCCCAUGGGCAGGUCAACAAAUAGCUAAUCCAGGAUGGAAUUUCCGUAAUUCAAAUAUUUUUUCCCUUGUUGAUUGCAUCUAGGCUGAAUAUUUUCUGUAUAUUACAUACUGUAUAAUCUCAAAUGGCUUUAGUGUAAUAGUAGUUCUACUAUCCCAAAAGAAUGAAAGUACAGUUUCUGCAUCGUUAAUAGGAAGCAGUACGCCAAACUGUUAAUGUAAUCUUUGAGGAUCCUGGAGUGCAAGAGUUGCUUGUAAAACUUUAUCAUACAGGUACAGUAAUUUUUAUUCUUGUAAUUCACUUUUUCUUCUCUUGAUCUUACAUGUCAAAUACAAUGUUGAUCCUUUUCUCUCUUAAAAUGGUUCAAAUAUCUGCUAUUGCUUCACUUGCUUGGUGCAAUUUAAGAAUGGAUAAUCAUGCUUCUACAAAUGUGCACACUAGAGGAACAGUUACUAUUUUUUUAGUUAUGUUAACUAGGCUAGGGUGAGUGUCAGAUAUAUAUCUUCUAAAUUAUGCAAGUUUUUUCUUACAUUUAGACCAUUGGUCCUCCAUGCCCAUAUCUUUUGAAUAUGUAUCACAUAAGAGUAAUUGAAGGAGAAUGAAGAGUUAAAAGUAAGGAGAAUGAAGAGUUAAAAGUAUACUUUUAGUCUCCUCCCUGGAAUAUGUUAUUACCAUAUGCAUUAUUCUAAUAUUUGGUUCUUUGACAUUUUUAUCUUGCAAUUUCUGACAUAAUAUAUAUAGCAUUUUCUGUCUCCCCUUUCACACAAACAUGUUUUUAUUUUUUUUAUUUUUGGCCAACCAUGGUCUUGUAUUGGAAUUUGCCCCUAAGUUGGAUGAUAUUCUUCCUAUUUCAAAAUCUGAAGUGUUAGUACGAGCCAAUUGGAGAAAUAUUUUGUAGAAUUUAAACUUGAAGUUUGUAGCAAGUUUCCUUUGGUUGCAUUGUUGAUCAAUAACCACUCCCACAAAACUUAAUGUGGCACUUUGAUUUCAUUUUUUUUUAUUUUUUUAUUUCCAUGCUUUAGGAUAUUGUCUUCUAUCAGUCCUGCAUGGAUAGUUUCUUCCAUCUAAACUUUCUGUGAUUCUUAUGAAUUGAGGAUAAUCUAUCUUAUGUAGUGCCACUCAAUCCAUUUUGCAUCUGAUUUGGACAAUUCUAGGUCUAUUACAUGAAGAACAGAAUUGAUCAAUUUAUGUGGAAAGUGGACUUGUAUUUUCUUAAAUUGGAUUGACCUCUAUUUACUAAUAACUUGUACUAUUACAUAAAGCCGACAGUUUAGGUGGUUUCUCAUGGAAUUUGUUCUCUUCUGUUUCCUCAUUCUUUGAGAAGUCUUUGGUACUGUUAGGUUAUAUUGUUUGUAAACCAUCUAAUCUAGACACCAAACAUGAGAGUCUAGGUUGUACACUCUCUUACAAUGUAGUAUGCACAGAUUAUGCCCCCAAAAAGGUUUCAUUCAAAUCUUAUAGAAUUUCAAUUUUGAGCUGAACUUUUUUGGAAUGCAUGCCAAGAGGCAUAUGAUAUUAUGGUCUGUUUAGAUGCCUGAAUUUGGAGGGUUGUAAAAUUGGAUUUGGUCUUAAAAUUAAAUUCAUUUUAGAGAAUGUUUUGGAAAGCUGGAUUUAUGUCUGAGUCAAAUUCACUUGGAGCUUAAGAUGUCCAAAUCUAAGAUUUGAAAUUAUCUUUUGAGCUAUGUAUUUGCCACAUCUAUCCAAGCAAAAAUUUCUUCCUUCUCAAAUCUAGGAUUUGUGAAGGUUCCGAAUGCUAGAUCCUAGAUUCUUCCAGACAAUACUUUCAAGUCCAUGAAUUUUAAACAAAAAGAUUUAUGAUUUUGUUAAAAAAAUUUAAAACAAUAAUCUAUAUCCCAAUUUAUCCUUGACAAAACAGUGUUGCACCGGUUUCCUAACAUUUAAGGGGAUCUAUUUUCAGUUUUACAUGUGACAUUCAGGUUGUUGAAAGAGAAUCUUUAUGUUGGUAAAAAUAGAAGCUUAUUCAUGCAAUAACCUUCUUUUUUUUCAAUGUACCGGGUUUGAGCACCUAUUUGAGUGAGGAGGAGGGAAAGAGAAGCUGUGUUCAGACUGCUUAUUUUUUGUUCCAAACAUACUGGGGAAAGAAAGUUGCUUAAUCAAAGCAUUGAUUUGGGUCUUUUAACUUGUGGUUUUUCAGAGUGGUGUGAAGGGCAGGUUACCGAGUACCUCGUUGCAACAUUUGGUGAUUAUUUUACAGAUGUUAAGAUGUAAGUUAUCUUUACCUAAUCUUGGGUAUCAGCAACAUUUUAAUUCUUUCCUUCAUAAGCCACACAAGCAAUAAAUGUUCCAUAUUGGAUCUGUAAAGGACAUGCAUCUGGAAAUUUAAUCCUCCAAUUUUCUUUUAUCAUCUAGCGCUUCAUAUUCAGCAGUAGGUGCUGAUGAUUCAAUAUGUAAUAACCUCCAUGAUUUUUUAAUUUUACUGUGUAUUGUUUUACUGAUUUAAUGCUUUGCUACUAAGGUAUAUUGAAGAGCGAUCUUUCAGAAGAUUUGUUGAAGCAUGCUUAGAGGAAACAGCAAUUGUCUAUGUUGAUCAUCUUUUAACACAGGUUUGAUUAUUAUAUUUUAUUUGAAUACAAGGAAACAUUUCUGUGUUGUUUUCACUUUCUAGUGGUUAAAUGCAUGCUUUUAUCCUCUGUAACAUCUAUUCCUUUUCAUCAUGACCAUAGAAAAACUACAUCAAGGAGGAAACUAUUGAACGGAUGAGACUAGAUGAGGAGGUUCUUAUGGAUUUCUUCAGGGAGUAUAUUAGUGUCUCAGUAAGUGAUGCUUCUUAAUUCAGGCAUUCUCUCAAAGCAAUCAACCUAUAUAGCGUCUUCAGUUCUUCUACAUUCCUUCAACCUUUUGGGUCAGUUAUUGGAUAAAUUUCUAUGAAAUGGUUUCUGCUAGGUCUUUCUUCAUCCUGCUUUUCUCGCUUACUGCAGAAAGUUGAAAGCAGAGUCCGGAUAUUGAGUGAUCUAAGAGACCUUGCUUCAGCUGAGAGUCUUGACACAUUCACACUAAUUUAUUCAAAUGUUCUUGAGCAUCAACCUGACUGCCCGGUAAACAUUAAGUAUACAAUAAGAUGCUUGCUAUUCUAGUAUUUGUCCUAAAAGGUUGUAUUCAUGUUGCAUUUCUAAGUAAAAAUCUCAAAAUUUUGUAAUUUCAGCCUGAUGUUGUUGAGAAGCUUGUUUCACUGCGGGAAGGCAUCCCACGCAAAGAUGCAAAGGAGGUAAUUGCCACCCUUUAAUCCGGUUUAUCUAUUUGUUUAGAUUAAUAUAUUGCAAUUACAUGAAGUUGCAUAAAAAUAAAAUCGCCUUGUUUGAUCUAUUAAAGACUAACUCAAGUUAAAAAGAAGCAUCGACUGCUGGUCUUGUCUAGUAACGUCUUAUUCUUCUGCAAAUGCUAUUUACUUGAAUAUCCUUGCUAGUAAAUUUGUAAGAAAUAGUAAGGCUUUGGAAUGAUUGGUGAAAAUGUGGAUGGGUAACAACAGGUGGUGCAAGAAUGCAAAGAAAUCUACGAGAACUCACUUGUUGGUGGGAAGCCUCCAAGGACAGGAUUUGUGUUUCCAAGGGUCAAAUGUUUGACGGCAACUAAAGGUUAUAUAUGGCGUAAACUCACUUAAACAUUCCCACUUACCCUUCUUUUUAGAUUAGGGGUUCCUUGCCGCCUUUUCUAAUUUCUUGCUUCUUGUUUAUGCAUAUUGUAUGCUGCUAUUAUUUGUAGUAAUAAAUUUGCUUUUUUUUUUGUUAGUCAACGGGGAUGAAAAAUUUCAUUAUUUUGUUAUGUAAUUUUUGGUGUUUCCCCAAGUUAAACUGUCACAAAGCUAUGUAUUUAUUAUUGUUAUUAUUAUUUUCGAGCUGUGGUUUGUCCAGGAAAUUCAUCAACACUGACUGUUACAUAAUGCGAUAAAAAAUUGUCAAAAGAAAAGAAAAAAUAUAAUGCAAGAAAGAGAAUAUUAAAUGAGGAUGAUUUUUUUCCUUUGUUUUGGUGCUUAGGCUAAAAUAUUAAAUGAGUCUGGAUUAUUUCACUUUUUAAAUAUUUUUGUUGUAUUUAAAUAAAUAUUUACCUUUUAAUUAGUACCUAAUGAAGAGGUUAUUCGAAUGUAAUACAAGUAAAAAUGUUUAUUAGGUCUUUAUAAAUUGUCGAUGAAGUUUUCUUAAUAAUGUUUUUGGGUUAAAGAAUCUCAUUAUAUGAAUUCUCCAAUAAAGGGUAGAAAUUAUUGUAUUUUUAUUGUUUCAGCCUCCUUCCUUGCGUAGAAGAGGUUGAAAUCUUAUAAAAUAUUGAAAAUUUGAAAUCAAUUAACGAUAAUAAUAAUUUAAGCUAAUUAAAUGAAAUUACGGAUUCUUCAAUGCGUCAUUAAAUGAUAAAAGGUUCAUUCGUCGUCAGCUAAAGAGGUAUUUAUUGGCAGCAAAAUAGACUCAACAAGGGGAAUGAUAUGAAAAAUAAGACUGGUUAUAUCUUAGUAUUAAAGUUUGUCUCGAUUUGGUAUUAUUCUUGUGGCUUGUACCGAAAUAGUGUUUUAUCCCUAGAUGUCCAGUCAAUUAUUGUGUCUCAACGCAUUUCGAGGAGAACUAGCUAGCUCUAGGUUUGAGUGGUAUUUUACACCUAAUCACAACUUAUGCAUUGAUUCUUCAACGUCAGUCUGUUCAGACCUCUACUUAGUUUCACCCAAAUCUCAUCCUGGUCAUGGAUAGAUCACCCAGGUUCGGGUCUAUAAGCAGUGACAAUUGCUCUAUGAAGACUCGCUUUCGCUACGGCUCCGGUGGGUUCCUUUAACCAAGCCACUGCCUAUGAGUCGGCAACUCAUUCUUCAAUAACAAAAUAUGAUACUAAAAACUAACUUAAAUUUAAUAUUAAUAUACAGAUAUACGAAAGUGCAUUAUCGAGCCCAUUGAUAGUGGCAAGCCUGCUUCUUUAUAGCAGAUAUAACCAAGAAAUGGUUGACUGAACAGUCAAGUUCGCCACACUUUAGUUGUUAGAAAGAGUAAGUAAAAUUUAAUUCGAUUUAAAAAAAUUAAAAAAAAAUUAAAUUUCAGUUUAUUCAAAUGAAGUUAAUUUAACUAACUCGAAUUUAAAAAAAAAAAUUUAAGUUCAAGAUAAUUUGAAUAAAACAAAUAUUAAAUUAUAUUAUAUUAAAUUAUUUUUUUAAAUUUUAAAUUUGAAUUAUUAUUUAGUCUAAUUAUUUUACAUUCCCAAAAUCAAAAUCAAAAUCCUAUUCCUAUUCCUAUUCGUAUUCCAAAAUCCCUAAAAUCUAAAUCCCUGCAAUUUAAAUCAAACCCCCCAAAUUAAAAUCUCUAAAAUCUAAAUCAAACUCUCCAAUGUUCUUCAUUUCUUCAUCGGUUCACCAGGCUUUCUGAGGUUAGGCAAAUCCCUCACCCGUCUUCAGUCUACGGUCUCCCAUCCCUCCCCUGUUGAAAUUGGUGGUGGAAAUUGCUGCUGGUAUGAGCCUUGAGGUUAUAAUUGUUGCUGCUGCUGCUGCAUAAACUGCAAACAGGAAAGAAGAUUUUAGAUAGUUUGGUUUCCAUUUUAAAGGAGGCAUAUGAGAGAGAAAAAAAGAAAAAGCAAAAGUAAAAUCUAACUUGAAAACUAUCUUCGACGUCGGAGUUUCGAGGUCCGCCAUUUUUCUUUAGCAAUUUUCAUUUCAAUGAUGCUACAUUGUCACGUGCUCAUUUACACUAUUGACAUGUUGUUUUGUUUCUUUAUGUUUUAAGAAUAAUAUGGUGAGUUUUGGAAGUCAAAGCAUAUGGUUUUGGUGGUUCCGAUCUUAAUGGUUGUAAAUACUUAGGUGGUUCUGAUUAUUUGGGUUGUAACGACACCAAGACUUCGUUACAUAGGCAGAUAUGGUGUGUUGCAGGGAUAUUUGCUUGAAAAAUAAACAAGUCUCUUUUCUUAAUUGUCAUCUCUGUUUCUUUUCUUGUCUGCUACUUCUUUAUUUUCUUUCUUGUGUUGUUGUUUCUCUGCUGUUAGUGUGUUGUAAUUCUCAAGCAAAACGCAACAAGGUAUCAGAGUUGACGAUCUGCGAUGUCUGGCAACGAUGUUUCUACUCGGCUUCAAAAGGAUGUGGGUGGUCUGCAGCAGGCGGUGGCAAAGCUGUAGAAGGACGUUUCACAGUGGAGUGCAAAAUUGAAGGAUGGGUUGAAGGAAUUAAGGAUAGAGUUCAAAGGGGAACUUAAGCUGGAGUUGUGGGGCUUGAAAGAUAGGUUACGGGGGCAGAUCAAGUCUGAAAUGCAGAGUUUGUUGGAAUUGUAUUUGGGUCGACCAUUUGCUUCCGUUGUUGGUGGAUAGUCAUCUGUUCCCGUUCCUGCUGGAUAGUUGAGUGAUAAAGGGAAGGGGAUUUUAGGCAUGCUACCAACCGGGUUCUCGCCUAGGGAACCGUCUUUUAAUUCGCCUUCAAAGGACACUCCUUCCUUUUUGCCCAAUGUUGAUGUCAGUUUGACGUCUCAUGUCAAUGAACAUUUCCCUAAGUCACACAAGUUGGAAUGUCCACGUUUUGACGGGUCUGAUUUUAAGGGUUGGUGGGCUAAACUCGAACAAUAUUUUCAGGCUGAGGGGAUCCCUUCCAAUGUUAGGGUUCGAACGGUAAUGUUACACUUAAAGAGCAAGGCUCUCGACUGGCACCAGUUUUAUACAUAGAGGCAAGAAGGCUUCCACAUGUUGGUUUUAGGGAUAUAUGACCAGAGCCUGUGGGAGCACUUUGCAUCGAGUUAUUUUUAAGACCCCAUGUCUGACUUGUGUCAUUGAAGCAACAUGGGUCGGUGGACUAAUAUCAUGAAACUUUUGUUAGCUUGUUGAAUCAAUUGCAGCUACCCAAACCAUAUGACUUGAGCAUAUUUACCAACAACUUGAAAACUAAAAUCGGGCAAUACCUAUAGUUGUUUAAGCUGAAAACUUUGGUGGAAGGAUUUCAAGUAGCACAUCAAGUGGAGGGUAUAUUACAAAAAUCUCCUAGGAGGUUGUUCUUGACGGGGGUCCUACAACUUCAAAAUCCUCGACUUAUACAACUGUCGUUUCUCAGACUUUAAAGCCAUAAACUACCUCCACGGGGAACUCAUAGUAGUAGUAACUCUACUGGCCCGAGUGUAACUCACAAAUCAGUCAUGGCAAUAGGUUCAUCCAUGAAGUUUAAAAGAACAUUAACAAUCAUAGAGAUUGAUCAUAGGAGGAUAAAGGGAUUGUGCUUUUGGUGUGGUUCCAAAUAUAGUGUGGGCUAUAAAUGUGUUAGGUCUUAGCUAUAUUAGUUUUUAUUGGAAUCAAAAUUGGAUAGGGAAAGGGAGGAGUCCCACGAGGAUUUUGAUCAAUCGGAGGGUUCUCCAACCAAAAUGAUGGUUCAAGAUCCUAUACUUUCACUCCAUGCUAUCCAAUGGUCCCAAGGUAACCAUACGAUGAAGGUGGCAGCAUCUGUGGGAACUGCUCAUGUUUUAUUUUAGUUGACUUAGGAAGUACGCACAAUUUCAUAAGUGCAAGGUUGGUGAGAUAGCUUGCCAUAUCCUUCAGUAAAGAACAUAAAUUGAAGGUCAUGGUGGCUAAUAGGGGUAAUGUGUUCACCCAAAGGCUGAGUUUUUCAAUAGAAUUUUUUGUUCUACCAGUUAAGGGGUGUAAUAUGGUUUUGGGAGUGCAGUGGCUCCUAUCAUUGGGAAGCAUUCCUUAGGACUUCAAGGCUUUGACCAUGCAGUUAAACUAUAAAGAAAACAUAUGCUUGUUACGGGGCAUUCAAUCAGGGGCUAUACAAGUCUUGUGUGAUCGUGAGGUUGCUAGAAGUUUUUCCAUCAUGGGGAAUUCUUGGGGCCCUAUACACUCUAAGUGGCUACUGCUGAUCAUGCAUCACUACAAUUGUCACCUAAACUAAUCUCUAAGGAUUUGCUUAAUCUCUUAGAGGCGUUCCAUAAGGUGUUUCAAACACCAACUGGGUUACCCCCAUCAUGCUUACAAGAUCAUUGCAUUCCACUCAAGGAUGAAUCGGCGUUAGUUAAGAUGAAACCUUAUUGCUACCCUUAACAGUUCGCCCGAUUAAUCCUCCGGGGCUCAAAUAACUCAAUUUUCUCCCAUGCACUAUUUGUGUCAAUGGAUUUGUUCGAUCCAAAACUUGAGGGAAUUUGUGUAAUUCGAAAAAGGAUUCAUAAGUGGUUGUUAAUGGAUUCGAAGUUAC
rnacentral:lncRNA from 1 species